AAGGUAAACUUGUAUCACUUGCCUACAUGCCUACAACAAUACAAACACUAGCUUAUGUCUUUCUCAAUAUUGAGAUUGUUACUGCAUGCAAGCAUUUUGGGUGAGGAGGCCCAACUUGUGAUCAUCAAUAACAUAGAGCAUACUUUUAUUAUAGAGAAGCCCAAGGAAAUAUUUAAGCACUUGAAAUCCUUUCUCAUUGAUUUGCUUCCACCUCCUAGGCAACACUUGGAACCACUCACACCAUGACAAGGUGAAAAGAAACUAAUGCAACAUUCUCAAUAUAUCAAAGGAAAGGUCAAAUUUUAGAUUUUUGUGUUUUUCCUAUCACUGUUUCUAUACUAUUACUAGUGCACCUUAUUUGUCAACAUGAUUAAAAUAGAAUUCCCUAGGAUAACUAGUGUCUCAGGUGAUCUUAAGGUUCAUAAAUUUUUGGUUUCCACAAGAUAGGUGCCAACUAAUUUUAUUUUUUUCUACAUCCAUGCAAUAUUCUAGUCAUCUAUUAACAAGGGAUAAAAAUUCUUGUAGAGAAUAGAAUAAAGAACUAGAUUAAAUGAAAAUAGGACAUUAGUAUUCUAUUUACUAGUAAGGGUAAAAAAUUCUUGAUGGCCAUCAAGCACAUUGUUCCUAAAAUAAUAGCAUCCAUGUCGUUGAGCAAAAGUUUAUUGUAAUUGCAUUUAACAUAUAAAGCAAAACUGAUUUUUUUAUUUUAUUUUAUAUUUACACCUUAUGCAUUUGAUAAAAUUCUUAAACAAGUAAGUUUGAAAAUUUUCUCUUCAAAUCAUUUGAUAAUUGAAGGCCAAACUAAUCAAAUUGAUUUAAAUUUUACAUUCAAAAGUUGAAUUUAUUAUUAUUAUUAUUAUUAUUAUUUUUUUUUUUUUUGCAAAAUUUACUUCACUUUAGAAGUUUGUGAUUAUUCUCUAGUCCAUCUUAAAAUGAGUGCCUCCAUUAUUCCAUUCCUCUAUCACUACAAAAAGUUUAGAUUGACCUAAAAUUUUCUCAUGACCUAGAAACUCAUAUCUACUAGAUGGUUAAAGCAAAAAAAGGCUUUUGCCUUAUGUUUUAAGUAAUCUCCCUAUUAUCUAUUUGUUGAGAGCAUCAUACAAGAUGUAAUUAUAUUUCUUAAUUUUUUUUUAUGUAAUAAGAACUAGAUUGAGAAAGAUGCAACUUGUAGAGAAAAAAAUUUCUUUACUACUUCCCUUGUAUUUGCUUUGUGUGUAUCAACUGUGCUUUUCAUUAUUUUAAAAAAUAUCACUAACAAAAAACUUAUUAUUGUUAUAUAUCAUAAUUUAGCAAUUUUUUUAUUAUUUAGAAAUCAUGCUUGUCAUUGUGUUAAUUAGUAGGUAGCCUAAUAACUAUAUUGUUCAAGUUAUUUUGUGUUGGCAUUCUUCAUGUUUCAAAAGCUUGUUAGACUAGCAAUUUUAUUGCAAAUAUAAUGUUCUCAAAUCAAUACAGAAAUGGAUGAUUGUGGGGAUUAGGCAUUGACUUCCUUGAGAAGUUCAAUUGAGGGUUUUUUAAACUAGGUCUCUACAUCAACAAAUGCUACAUUUUAUCACUCGAGACCUUAGAAUAAAUAUUGCAGAAAGCUUCAUUUGCUACAUAGUAAGGAUGAGGUUGGCAUAUAAAUCCUAAGGACUUAAAAGCUUGAGUUGUUGUCUCUUCCAAGGGGCCUUUAGAUUUAUUAAUGAGUUCCAAAUCAUUGUCUACCUUGAAUUUGAAUCACUGCUAGAAGGAUGUGCCGCUAAGCAUUCUCAUGUUCUUGAUAUGGAGUAGAAAUGGACUUCUAAUUCAUGAAGAACUGAUGGGCUCUUUGAUUAUGCCAUCUAUAAUGUACUUCAGGUUCAUGCUUCAACCUCUCUUCUUGCUUUUGAUAACUUCAUUUUAGUUUUACACUGCUUUCCUUCCCUCUUAUCUGUGUUUAUGUAUGUUUGUGCAUAUAAUGUGAACCUUUUCCACUGUUACUUUAAAGUUUUUUCAUUCUUGGGCUUGGGAAAUUACUAAAUUUGAUUUUAAUAUUUUCCUGUAGAUUUCACCUUGCUUAAAAAGCUUUUGAUUAUUCAUAUUUGCAAGAUGGCUAAGACAUCUGAUUGUGCUCAGAACUUCUGGUUUCUAUUAAAUAUAGGUAUGUUGUUUGCAAUUCUAACCCACUUACUCCUCUUGAAGACUACAUAAAUUGCUAGUGUUUUUACUUUAAUGGUUAUAAACAAUGUGUGCCCUUGUUACUUCUUGCUUGCAUUCUAUAUGUUGAAGAGCUUUAUUAGGCUAAUUAUUUUAUUGAAGAUAUAAUUGUUGUCAAGUCAAAGCAAAGCCGAAUGGUGAUGUGGUUUCAACUUCUUAGAAGUAACCAAAAAGUAAGGAACUCUCUCUAUGGUAGUACUUUGAUGUCACAUUGGGCUUUCAGAUUGCUGCCUUGAAUUGACAUAAAUAACAUAGCAUCUUUCCCAAUUGAGUCGUUUCAACAUGUUACUAUGCUUCAAACUCUCUCAAUUAUGUCUUGUUUAGGUUUGGCAACAUUAGAACACUGGAUAGGCAGCCUCAACUUACUCACACAACAUAAAAUUCAUCUUUGUUGUUAACUGACAUCACUGCCACAAGAUGAGUUCACUCAGUAUUUUACAGACAGCUAUAGUUUGGGACAAUUCUGGUUUGGCAACAUUAUUAGACUUGAUAGGUAACCUAUCUUCACUUACAAACACCUUCAAAUUUAUAGUUGUCCUAAACUAGCAUCACUACUAAAAGACAUGUGUGUCCUCAACACCCUAUAGGCACUCACAAUUGGAGAUUGUUAUGGUUUGGAAACAUUCAACAGACUUGAUAGGUAACCUUACACCACUUAUAGAGCUUCAAAUUCAUGGCUACCCUGAAUUGACAUCACUUUCAGACUAGAUGUUCACCCAAACCUCAAUUGACACUCACAAUUCAAGGCUUCUCUAUAUUGGCAACAUUACCAGACUUGAUAGGCAUCAUCACUUCACUUACAUACCCUGGAAUUAAUAGCUACCUCAAAUUCACAUCAUUGUCAGAAGAGAUUGGUUCACUCAUAUCCCAACAGAGAUUCAUGAUCUUUUAUUGUCAAUGUCUAUUAGAAAGACUUCGAAGGGAAAUAGGUGAAGAUUGGGCCAUUAAUCUUCAAUCCUAGAUAUUGAUAUUUUGGUGAAGAUUGGAUUAAUAUAGAGUUCGUUCAAGUUUGAAAUCCUAACCUUCUCAUUUGUUAUGGUUUUGUUUUUAUCAAUAUACCCUGUUUACAUUCUAUUUGGUAAUUAUGGUAUGUAUUAGCAUAUAGAUAAAAAAGGACUUAGAUGGUUAAUUUGAAAAGUUUGCAUCUUCAAUUAAUUAGUAAUUAAAGACCAAACUGAUCAUAUUACUUUAAGUCUUGCAUUAUAAGAGUUCGGGAAAAAUGUUAGGGUCGAUUGAACUAUUAUUUUGUAACAAAUUUCACCUUGCUCAGGAAUCUCAUGAUUAUCCCUUGGCACAAACAUUUCUCGGUGUCUGAGAAAUUCAUAUCUACUACAUGGCUCAAGAAUCUAGUAGCAUUCAAAAUUUCUGCUCUCUUUCAAAUUAGGUGUGUUGCUUGCAAUUCCGGUCCUUUUCCUAUUUCUAAAUGCUAUAUUUUUAUUUUACUAUCAAUGUGUUAAGAGCAUUAUGUUCUGUUUUCUAUAAUAUUGUUUUCUUACUUAUCAUAUAUAUUAAUUAUUUCACUACAAAUGUAUUUGUUGCCAAGUUAAAGCAAAAAUGGAAAAUGACGAUUUUUCAUAGAUCAAUGUCUUUCUCAAUUGCUGCCACACCUGACUUCUCUCUAAGUUGUUGAAAAUUUAGAAGUGUGGUAGCAUAAUGUCUCUGGCUCAAGUGCUUUAGCGCCUCAUUGUCCUUGAAGCUUUAGAAGUUGUCAAUACAAUUGGUGUUUCAACAUGUAACCAGUUUGGAAAUUCUAAGAAGUGUAAGUACUAUGGUUUUGCAACUUUGUUAGAUUGGAUAGGCAACUUCAAAUUAUUGAAUGCCCUGAAUUGAAAUCACUACUAGAAGGGACCCACAAGCACUUUAUAGAAACUCAUAAUCUACUAGUCGUACCACUUAUUAAGAAUGCCAAAAGGAAAAAGUGAAUAUUGGCCUAAGCAUGGUUGAUUAAUAAACUACUCAUGGUCUCCUUAAUUCAAGUGUGUCAUUUAUUAUAUGUUUCAUGUUAGUAAUCCUACAUUUCUCUUGUUUUUGUUGGCUUUAUUUUUUUGAAUUAUUUUACAAUCAAUAUUUUAUCGAUGUUCUUCCUUUUGUACAAUUCUAUUUCUUGAUUCUCAAAUGAAUUAAGACAUAUCAAGAAAAAAAUCACAUUGUUUGCUUUCCAUAUACUAUAUGCUUAUAUGUACAUGUGUUAAAAACUUUUGAUUUUUAAUUGAUUACUUUCUAUUUAAUUUGUUAAAAAUUGUUAGUCUAUUUGGAGAUGAUUUUUUUUUUCAUAUGUAAUAGGAUACCAACAAAUUGAGUGAGGAGCACAUCUUACUAAAUCGUUUAUCAAUUUAUUCACCUUCCUAAUCUCAAGCUUCUUCAUGUUUGAAUUAAAACACCUUGGAGUACACAAACAAAAAUGAUGGUAAUAAGUCUUUCUCAUCAUCUUUAUUUUCAUUAGAAGGCAAUUUGUAUCAUCCUCAUUCCCAAUCCUAAAAAUAGGUUUAGAAAUUAGACAUGUUUUCUUAAAUGAUCUUCUUGGUCCAUGCAUGCUUUCUAUAUAUUUAAAAAAAUUUUAAACUAAGUACUUAAUUGUAGAUAUGAUAGUUUUCAAGUUAAUGCACAAAUGGUGAUGGUGAGGAUGCUAAAUAUAGUCCAUGCUCAGCCUAUUUGUUGACAAACUACCGAGGGCUAGUGCUAAGGGAAACACUUAAUGCACUUGUAUCAUACUCUCUUUUCUUUGCCUUCUCUAGUCGUUAUCCAAGGUUCAUAUAUAAUAUGUCUUUAUCAUUAAACUUUUCAUUUUUAACCUUUUGUCUUUUUAUGGUCUAUUACAUGGCCAUCAAUUUCUAAGAAAGUGGUGUACACUAUUAUAAAUCUUAUCUCUUUGUUCUUAUAGACAAUAGAACAACAUGCUAAUUGCAUGAUAUACAAUUUGUAAUAGAUGUUCGGCUAUCAGGUAACCUUUAAGUACCUUGGAGCUAAAACAUUUGAUGUUAAUAAGGUUUGAUGAUUCUCACUUUGGUGCUUAGGUGCUUUGUUGGAUUUCAAUUCAGGUGAUUAAUUAAUCUUAUUAUGAUUAUUUGAUUGCUAUAAUAACUAAAUAAUCAUUCCUAUUUUAUCUUGGUAAUUGACUUCAAUGACUUUUUAACAAUUAUAUCAUGCAUGAAAUGUCCAACCUAUUAUUGUUAGUAUUUCAAUAACAUACCUCUAAUGCUACCACUAAUAUACUUCAUGUAUUCAUAUUUAUAAAAUGUUUCAUUAUUUUAUAUAAUUUAAUGUUUUCAAAUUUCUUUUUUGAAUGGGAGAAAUGACCAUUAAUCUUGACAACAACACAAGUAUCAUUGGUCUAAUAUUGCUUUCUUGAGUAAUUUGGCAAUUUAAUUAUGAAGUUUAGUUGUACAUUACUUGAGAUUCAUGCUUUAUGUAUAUGGUCUAUUGUCCAAACUUCAAUGACAUUUAGUAGACUUGUGAGUGGCGUUUGUCUAUGAGUUUCAACUCUUCAAAACUAUUAUUGAAGCCUAAGUUCAACUUCAGUAAGGAAAAAAAAUCAACAUUUUCUUCCAUUAUGUAAUUUUAUUCACUAUUGAUCUCCCGAAAUAUUGUUUUUAAAACAUGCCCUUAAAUGGAAUUCAUGGCUUCGCUAUUAUUUGCAGGAGAAAUUGUCAAGUUCUAUAUUUGUUUAGAAAGUUGGAAGAAGUAUUUAAUUUGACAUGGUUUGGACAUCUUGCUGCCAUCUUUUUAAAUUAGUUAUCAAUAAUUUUCCAAAGUUGACAUUUUUGUUUAUCUCAUACUCCUUUUAUAUUAGAAGGUAAUGCAUCGGUAUUGUGUAGACGAAUCAAGCCUUCUUUAAUUGAGGCGGGCCUUUUGCAAAAUAUUUCAAGUUUGUUUUCUUUCCAUUUGUUGCUUCAUAUCUAUUUUUUGUAAUCAACCAAGCAAGGGUUUCUUGUCAUGCCAUAAUGGUGACUUGUAAUAAUCAAUUAUUGAUUGUAAGGAUACUUGGCUUUAUCAAUUAUUAUAUUGAAAUCAAUUCAGUACUAUGGCUAAUGCCAAAAGGACAAUAUUUAGUUUCGAUUGACCAUAAUUCACUAUUCUAGAAACAAGUGCUCACAAAUUUUGCAUCUUUGAAGGAUGUGGGAAAGAUUGGCUUAACUGCAUCACCAACUUACAAGCUCCUUAUAGCAUCCAUAUAUAUAACCUUCAUUGUUAAGGUUUAUAAUUCCUAUCUCAUUUUUUUCAUCUCUUUAUUGUUUAUAAUUUUUGAAUUGAUUUGUUAAAAAAAAUUUAAACCUUAUUUGCAAUACUGAUUUGUUUUAUUCUUAUGUGCAAUAGAAUAAUAAGUUGAAUAAGAAGCAUACACUACUUAAUUGAUAUAACCGUUUAGUCAAUUCUCUUCUCAAUUUUUUUUUGUUUUUCUCCAUUUUUGUUCAAGGUAAUCAAAGUAUCAUUAUUUCUAUUUCUAAAGGUACUUGUACCUAGCUUGAAAAACUUUAAGAUAAGUUAAAGUGGAGAACCAUUCCCAAAACAAGUAAUAAGUACAGUUGGGUUAUUGAUAUCAUAUCCUCGAUUGACAUCUAUGCCAUUGUAUUUACAUCUAAAGGAUUUAUGAUGAAAAUAAAUAUCUUCUUCAUUUCCAUUUUCCUCACUUUUUUUUUCGUAAUUUAUGUGCAUAUCAUAAUCUUUUGCGAGCAUAUAUAUGCAUGUUGUAAUCGCAAUAAUCUAUUGCUAUCAUAAUUCAUAGCCUAAUAUAGUUGCUAGCAUAUAUAUGCAUGUCAUAAUCUAUUGAAUUUUUUAGCAUAAGGUCUUAGAGUAUUCACAUAUCUAUAGGUUCUAUAUAUUUAUACUUUUUAAAACAUCAAAUGAAGUAUAUCAGCCUUAUCCCGAAGGUGAAGUCUCUUUAAAUUGAGCUUCAACAUGUUAGCAGUUACCUAACUUAAUAAUCUAACAAUUUGGUAUUAUAUAUCAUUUUGCAACUCUUCCAUAAAGUAAUUGUGUUUCCUCUAUUCAUAUUUUCUGUCCUUAUUUUUUUUUAAAAAAAUUGAAUUAGUAAUUGUGUGUCAAAUCAUGCUUACAAUCAUUAAUAGGUACUUAUAUGAUAAAUUGAUAAAUUUAUUUUACAAUUUUUUCAACAUAUUUGAAAAACAAAAAAAAUAAAAAAAAUAAAUAAGCAUGUCUUUCUAGAUGUAAUCACUACCAAGCUCAUGUGAAAAGCUAUAGCAAUGAGGGUAUAAGCUUCAGUUUUGUUUUGGAGAUUCAUAUUGAGAGUUGUAGAUUGUGAAUGUAAUUGUGUGCAUAAUGAGGACACUAAUAGUAUAAGCUUUGGUGUCUAUUUUUUUUUUUUACUUGAAAUAUCUAUAGCAGAAUCUGAGGUUCAACUUCAUCACCAAUAACAUGGUCGAGGACAUAACUUCAAGAGACAGCAAACAGUUUCAUAUUAAUCUUUUGGGGUGCAGGAAUUUGACAUUCUACAACGUUGCAAUUAGUGCACCAAAAGACAGCCUUAACACAGAUGGAAUUCACAUUGGACGUUCCUCAGGGAUCGAUAUCACCGAUUCAGCCAUAGAAACCGGAGAUGAUUGUGUCUCAAUUAGUGAUGGCAGUGGGCAAAUUAAUAUCCAAAGAAUAACCUGUGGACUUGGCCAUGGCAUCUGUGUGGGAAGUCUAGGAAAGUACCCCGAUGAAGAAUCUAUGGUUGGCAUUAGUGUCAAGAACUGCACCUUCAUCAACACCCAGAAUGGCGUCAGAGUGAAGACAUGGCCUGCUUCUCUCAUCAAGACACUACCUCUGAAAUGCAUCUUGAAGAUAUUGUCAUGAAUAAUGUUGGCAAUCCCAUAAUCAUAGAUCAAAAGUAUUGCCCCCAUAACCAAUGCAACUUAAAGGUACUUCUAAAGGAAAUGAAAAUUUCCAUUUUUAUUGCUUAUUUUCCCUCUUUUUCCCUUCAUUUUUAUUGGUUUGGAACUUAACUAUCCGUUGUUUUCAGAGUCUAUCACGCAUUAAGCUCAGCAAUGUUAGCUUCAGAAACAUCCAGGGCACUACCUCAACUCAGGUUGCUGUCAAGCUUGUUUGUAGCCAAGGAGUACCAUGCCAAGACGUUGAGCUUGGUGACAACAACGGAAAUGAAGGCCUUGCCAUGUCACAAUGCAAGAACAUUAAGCCAAAUCUACUGGACAAGCAACUGCCAAGGACUUGUGCCUAAGAUGCUUAAUCUUCUUCCAAAGUCUGAACAAAUUGUACUGCUUCUAUUAUAUAGCUACCUCUUCAUGCUCACGCGUCUGCUAUUUUAUUGGUGAAUAAACUACAAUGAACAAACAAUGAUACGAUACUCGGCUAUUAUGGAAGGUAUGUGCAGUUUGAUCCCAUAAGAAAAAACAAAUGUCUAUUUAGUCUUUUGCUGCUAUAGUACAAAUUGAAGCUCCAAAGAAUAAUGUUAAUGUAAAUUAUUUAAUGUUAAUGCAGUUUGGAUGAGAAAAUGCAGUCAAGUGAAUAAAAAUUCCUUUGGAGUGUAUCAUUUGAAAUUUUAUCUUUGGAUUACUACAACCAAGAAAAAACUAUAGAUUGGUAUCUGGUGUGUUGGAAAUGCUUGAUGGUUGGUAAUCGAACUAAUGUACUAAUGACUUCGAGAAAAACUAAGAAUGAUAAAGACAAUAGUAAUAAAUGGCAAGAACUGAGAAAGUAUUGAAGUUGUAAUUGUCUCAAGGAGCGUAUUUUGGGAUUUGAAUUAUAUGUAAAGAAGAAAUGCUCUUGGAAACUGCAACAUGAUGGAUCUUGAAUGGUUUUCUGUCAUAUGUGUUUGUUGUUUGGAGAUGACCGAGUAAUAUUAGUUUUAUCAUGCCCCUUUAAGCUGCCAUGUGGAAGCUGUAGCGUUAGCAGAGAGUUGAUAAUGCUUUUUGGGUAGUUGGAAGCUUGAACACCAACAUAUUAGUGCAAGGACAUGAAGAUAUUAAUUCAUUCAUACGAUUUAUUGUUUGAGAGGAUAGAAAAAAAAAAUAUAAAACUAUUUAAGAUCCUAAAAAUAUCUUAUAUUUCUCCGUUUUUUGUAUUUACACUCUGAUCCAUGGACUUUUACCCCACAAAAUAUCUCAUAUUCUUUUUCAAAUUUCUACCUACAUAUAAACUUCUUAUGUCUAUAUUUAUUAUAUUACUUUUUUCUCCUCAUGACCUAAUUAAAAUAUGUAUAAAGAUAAUCCUAACAACUUUUCUUAUUUUAUAGGCAAACCUAUUUCUAUAAGGAAUUAAUUGUAAAACAUCCUAUAUAAGCUACCUUAACAUAGCUGAAUUAUGUUAUAAAUUUUAUUUUGAUACGAUAAAUAACAAAAAUCCAUUGAUAAAAAAUUUAUCAAAAUCCAAUAACUGUAUAGGAUAAACUACACUUAUUUUGGAUAAAUAAUAAAGUACAUUAUCCAAGUAUUAAAAGAUUGUCUUUGUUGUGUAUAAUUUGGAGAGCCUCAGAUAAUGUGCAAGUAGAUGAGACUUAGAGUGAUAUGUUUUCUCUUUCAAAUCAAUUUUAGAGGGACCAAAUCCAAAAUUUUAGUCUUUUUUUAGAAGUGUUUUAGAAAAUAGUUUGGAAAAACACUUCUUGAUAAUAGCGUUUGAAAAUUAUUCUCUAAUAUUUUAUAGCACAUAAAUUUGUUUGAGAGAAUAAAAUGCUCUUAACUUGUUUCCUAUGUUUUUAAAUAUAUUUUAAAAAUAAUUUUCAUAUGCAUUGCUUUAUUUUUAAUCAUUCUCUAUAUUUGUAUAAUAAUUUUUUAAAACAAUUCUAUAAAGAAGUAAAAAGAAACAAAAAUAACUAAAAAGAUGUUCUUUCGAAACAUUGUAUUUUCUGUUUAAAAGUUUUUUUUUUUUUUUUUUUUCUGUUUUCUAGUUGUCAAACUAUACUUUCUUGUUUUUUUUUUUUUUUUUUUUUUUUUUUAUUUUUUUUUUUUUUUUUAUUCUAGAUAAUAGAAAACUGUUUUCAUAACAUGGCCUCAACUUUUACUAUGAAAAUCGAAAUGGUGCUUAAACUUAAACUUCAAAUUGAUUUUAAUCAAAAUAUGUUUUUUUUUUCUCCUUUUUCCUAUCAAAUCAAAACUCAAAUUUCUUUCUUUUCUAUAAAUACAAAAUUUCAAUUUCUAUCGUUGGACUAAGAACUCCAAAUCAUUUUCAAUUGGCGGUGGAGUCUUUGAUUUAAGGACACAGAAUGCGCAUGAAAAAUCUCAUAGUUGUGUGUGUGCAUGUAUGAUAUAUAUAAAGAAUGUUGGAUGAGGAAAUUGUGGAUAUGGCCAAAUCUGAAUCUCUUAUAUUUUUGCAAUAGCAUGUGAUUUACAUAGAAACUCGAUGGUGGAAGAAGACUAUAAAUAAAGGUCUCCUCUCCUCAUUCUAUUUAUCCUAGAAUUGAAGGAAAAAGAAUGAUCUAACUCUUUGAGUGAAAAAGUGAGGUUAUCUUGAGAAUUAGAGGAUUAUUAUUCUCUUGGGUGUAAUUAGGAUAUGGAUUGUGAGGAGUGAGUGAUUAUAAACACUUGUGGUUAUUUUUCUCCCUAUAAUGAAGAUCUAUAGUAGCUCUGUGGGCGUAGCUUGUUUUGGGUGAACCACGUAAAUUUCAUGUUUUGUUUGUCUACUCUAUUUCGUUAUUAUUUUCACAUUUUUUUUAUUCAUUUCAUUACUCUAGUCUUUUGGGAAGUUUAUUUCCUAACAACUGGUAUCAAAGCGACAUGUCUUGUGGUGUUUUAGGAGCUUAGUGGUAGUUUGAGGAGGUUGGAAUUUAAGAGGACAAUUGUGACCUCUCUAGUUUUUCUUAGGAACUUUUAUUUUUGUCUAAGGAGACUAGGUUUUAAGUGGGAUUGUUGUGAUCCUUCUAGUCUUUCCUGAGAACUUUUUUACUAGUUUAAAGCUUUGGGUGGAAGUUUUUCUAUAAUUUUUUGCAAGUACAGAGGUACUGUAAAAAGUACAAUUUUUGCAGAAGUCCUAAAGAACCAGAUUUGAGUGGGAUUGAUGGCAACAAACGAAGGAAAGAGCAUCAUAAUUUAGAAGUUCAAUGGUGAAGAUUUUAGCUUCUAGAAAAUGCAAAUUGAAGAUUAUCUAUAUUAGAAAGAUGUGCAUCUGCAUUUUUAAUGAAGAGUGGGCUCUACUCGAUAGGCAGGCCCUUGGAGUUAUCUGGUUGACGUUAUCUCAUAAUGUCGCUUUCAACAUAGCAAAGAAGAAGACUGUGAUGGGUCUUAUGGCGACUCUCUAUGACAUGUAUGAGAAGCCAUUCACUUCAAAUAAAGUGCACUUGAUGAGGUUGUUAUUCAAUUUGUGAAUGAUAGAAAGCGCGUCUAUAGCAACUCACAUCAAUGAAUUUAGUACAAUCACAACACAACUAAGUUUGGUGGAAAUCGAGUUUGACGAUGAAGUUCGAGCUUUAAUCUUUGUAUCCUCUCUACCGAAAAGUUGGAAUGCGAUAGUGACAACAAUGAGCAAUUCUUUUGCAAAGAAGAAGAUGGUAUUUAAGGAUAUUCAAGAUCUAAUUCUAAGCAAAGAAAUACACCAAAGAGAACUAAGAGAAACAUCAAGUUCUACCUUAAACAUUGAAUCUAGAGGUAGACAUAAUGACAGAAACUCAAAUCAAAGUAGAUUAAAAUCAAGACAGAGCAAGUCUAGAUCUAGGAAGGAAGAGAAUAGUUGUUGGAACUGCGGUAAGACUUAUCACUAGAAGAGAGAUUAUAGAGCACCGAAAAAGAACAAUGGCAGUGAAAAGAAUCCACGAACAUGGCCGAAGAUAUUGGCAAUGCUCUAAUCCUAACUGUCAAUAGUCUAGUUGAAUCCUAGAUUUUGGAUUCUGGGGCAUUGUAUCACUGCACCUCUUAUUACGAAAUCAUGGAGAACUACAUCAGUGGUGAUUUCAGGAAGGUUGACCUGGAUGAUGUUGAGACCUUGAAGAUUACGAGAAAAAAAGAUAUUCAAGUGAGGCUACCAAAUAUGUGGAAAUUUAAAGAUGUGAUAUGUAUUCCUAGUUUUAAAAAUAAAAAUAAAAAAUCUCUGUGGAUUAACUUGAUAAGAAGCGGAUGAAAGAUCACCAAGGGAGCUAUGGUCAUAGCUCAUGGAAAGAAGAACGGUCCUCUCUAUGUUACUUCUAGAAUGGAGAAUAUUGUUGAAGUUGUAAAAUCAAAUGAGAAGUAGAAAAUUUGGCACGAGAGACUCAGUCAUAUGAGCGAGAAAUGGAUGAAGGUUCUUGUUUCAAAGACAAAGCUGUCAAAUCUAAAAUCAAUGUGAAGAUUGUAUAUUCAAUAAGCAGAAAUUGGUUAAUUUCUCAAAGAUUGGCAAGCCAUCCAAAGUAGAGAAGUUAGAGCCGAUUCACAUAGACACGUAGGGGUCAUCACCAGUUUCAUCUAUUGGAGGCUCAUUGUACUACAUCACCUUCAUUGAUGACUCUACUAGGAAAGUAUGGGUUUAUUUUCUAAAAAAGAAGUUAGAAGUUUGUGAUGUUUUCAGGAAAUGGAAAGCCAUGGGAGAUGCGAAGAUCUACUAGGGGCCUAUAAGUAGAGGUCUCAUCUCCUCAUUUUAUUUGCCUCAUAAUUGAAAGAAAAAGAGUGGUCUAAUUCUUUGAGUGAAAAUUGAGGUUCUCUUAAGAAUUAGAGAAUUAUUAUUCUCUCGGGUGUAAUUCGGAUUUGGGAUGUGAGGAUUCAAUGCUCGUAUACACUUGUGGUUAUUUUUCUCCCUAUGUUGAAGAUCUACAACAAUUUUGUGGACGUAGCUGGUUUUGGGUGAACCAUGUAAAUUUCGUGUGUUGUUUUGUUUGCUCUAUUUUAUUAUUAUUUCCACAUUUUUUUAUUUGCUUCAUUAAUUUGGUCUAUUGGGAGGUUUACUUCCUAAUAUUUUUCAAGUCAAAUUCUUAUCUAAAAUUGAAAUAAGAAUUGGUUUCAUCCUCAAUUGAAAUCGAUUCUUGGAACACUUCACCAUUCCCUUUCCACAUUUCCCACCAUCCAACCCGGCCAAUAAAUACAAUUACUUGGCUCCAUUGCAUAUUUUUGCUUAUCUUUCAUUCACAUUCAAAAAUGGUUAGAAAGGAACCUUGAUUUUAGGAAGUUCCCAAUUAUUAGGAUUUGAUUUAGUUUUCUAAUAGUCAAUUAGAAUAUUUACAAAUUUGAGUGGUUGAUUUAAUUAUAUGUUUAUACAUAAUUCCUACAAGUUAUUUUUUUUUUAAUACUUUUUGUUAUUAGGAAUCUCUAUUUUUUAGGUAAAGGUGUCCAUAAAAAAAAAAAAAAAAGGAGUUAGUGCGAUAGUUGAACAAGAGUGGUGGAAAAUAAUGUCAUUUUCUUGAUUUUUCUCAAUUACUUACCUUCUUACCUUGACUUUCCAUCAUGACUUAUUUCUCUCUAUGGAUUUGUUUAUGUGUUAUCAACUCUAUUACUUGAAUAAAUUGGGUUGUAAGAAAAAGAUGACAAGUAGGACAGAUUUGUUACAAGUUCUUUAGCUCAAUAAAAAAACUUACAAUAAUUGGAGUAUGAAGGUAAAGACUUUACUUGAUUCACAAGAUGUAUGCAAAGGUUGAAGAGGAAGGCUAUAAACAAGGAGUCAUGACAUAAAACCACUAUUUUAAAAGCAAAGUAAUUUUUUGAAAGGUAUAAGGAAAAAAGAAAAAAAAAAAGGAAGAAGAAAGCUCUUACCCUUAUCUAUCAAGCAAUGAAUAAAGGCAUAUUUGGAAAUUUUCCAAAUGCAACCAUGCACUACCAAGAAAGCAUGGAAGAUAUUAGAAAAUGCAUAUAAAGAAAUUGACUAAUUAAGAAAAGUUUGCCUUUGUACUGGGUAUUGUGUAGAGAAAUCAAGUCUUCUUUAAUUGAGGUGAGUCUUUUGCAAAAUAUUUCGAGUUUGCUCUCUUUCCAUUUGUUGAUUCAUGUUUUUUUUUUUUUUGGUAAUCAACUAGGCAAGAAUUUCUUACUUGUCAUGCCACAAUGGUGAACAUGCUUGCAUGAAUAGUAUUCUCUCUACUCUUUCUUUUUUAUUCUUUCUUUAUUAUAUUGAUGGAUAUACUUAGAAGUGAAUAGUUAAUUGGGUUUUUUAUUAAAAGAAAUCAAAUAUUGGUAAUGCUAUUUAGUAUCAUGCUUGUAAUAAUCAAUUAUUGAUUGUAAAGAUACUUAGCUUAAACAAUUAUUAUAUUGAAUUCAAUUUAGUACUAUGGCUAAUACCAAAAGAAUAAUAUUUAGUCUUGGUUAACCAUUAUUCACUAUUCUAGAGACAAAUGCUCACAAGUUUUGCAUCUUUGAAGGAUACGGGAAAAGUUGACUCAACUGCAUCACCAACUUACAAGCUCAAGCUUAUAUACAACCUUCAUUUAUCAGGUUUAUAAUUCGUAUCUUUUUUUUUUCAUCCCUUUAUUGUUUAUAAUUUUUGAAUUGAUUUAUUAAAAGGAAUUUCAACUUUAUUUGCAAUAAUGAUUUUUUUAUUCUCAUGUGCAAUAGAAUAAUAAGUUGUAUAAGAAGCAUAUACUACUUAAUUGGUAUAACCCUUUAGUCAAUUCUCUUCUCAAAUCCUUUUUAUUUUUCUCCAUUUUUGUUCAAGGUAAUCAAAGCAUCAUUCUUUCUAUUUCUAAAGGUACUUGAACCCAAUUUGAAAAACUUUAAGACAUGUUAAAGUGGAGGACCACUCGCAAAAUAAGUAACAUUAGUUGGGUUACUAAUAUCAUAUCCUCGAUUGACAUCUAUGCCAUUGCAUUUUCUUCUAAAGGAUUUAUAAUGAAAAAAAAUAUCUUCUUCGUUUCCAUUUUCCUCCCUUCUUUUGACCAUAAAUUUGUGCACAUUGAAAACAUUCAUAGCCCAAUAUUUUUGCUAGCAUAUAUAUGCAUGUCACAAUCAAUUGAAUUUUUUAGCAUAAGUCUUAUAGUAUUCACAUAUGUGUAGGUUCUAUAUAUUUAUCAUGUUUACAAUAUCAAAUGAAGUAUAUGAACCUUAUCUCAAAGGUGAAGUCUCUUUACAAGGAGCUUCAACAUGUUAGUAGUUACCUAACUUAAUAAUCUAACAAUUCGUCACUAUAUAUUAUUUUGCAACUCUUUCAUAAAGUAAUUGUGUUACCUCUAUUCACAUUUUCUAUCUUUAUUUUAAAAAAAUUGAAUUGGUAAUUGUGUGUCAAAUCAUGCUUACAAUCAUUAAUAGGUACUUACAUGCUAAAUUGAUAAAGUUAUUUUACAAUUGUUUCAACAUAUUCAGAAAACAAAAACAAAAGAAAAGAUUAAUAAGUAUAUCUUUCUAGAUGUAAUCACUACCAUGCCAAUGUAAAAAAAUAUAACAAUGAGGAUUUCAAAGAUUAAAUUAAGUCUUGGAGACUCAUAUUGACAAGUUGUAAAUGGUGGGUGAAGUCUCUUUAAAAUGAGCUUCAAUAUGUUAGCGAUUACCAAACUUAAUAAUCUAACAACUUGACACUAUAUAUCAUUUUACAACUAUUUCAUAAAGUAAUUGUAUUAUCUCUAUUCACAUUUUCUAUCUUUUUUUUUUUUUAAAAAAAUUGAGUUGAAAAUUGUGUGUCAAAUCAUGUUUGCAAUCAUUAACGGGUACUUAUUUGCUAAAUUGAUAAAGUUAUUUUACAAUUGGUUCAGCAUGUUUUGAAAACAAAAACAAAAGAAAAUUAAGAAGUAUAUUUUCUAGAUAUUAUCACUACCAAGCCAAUGUGAAAAGUUAUAAUAAUGAGGAUUGCAAAGCACCAGUUAUGUUUUGGAGAUUCAUAUUGAAUGUUGUAGAUUGUGGAUGUAUGGUAUAGGAGUUAACUUGAGUUUAUCAUUCUUUCUAUUUUCGAUACCUUAAUUUUAUAUGCAUUGUCCAUCAUAUAUAUUUGUUAUCAUCUAUUCUUUACAACCAAUUUUUUAAUGACUUCUACAAUUUGUGUAUAAUGUAUAUAUUGCUUUUAUUUGUACCAAAGCAUCAUCAAGCUACAAAAGCAUCACAAGUUUUUCUAUUGGGUCAAGUAUUUUAGUAGUUUUUGUACUUAUACUUGAAACUUUUUUAUGACACUAAUGAGGACAUUUACCUUGAUUAAUUUAACAUUUAUAUUGCAAGUAUCUAAAUAAGAGUUCUAUAGAUUUAUUUAGACAUUUAUGGGCAUAUUUAUCCUCUUUCUGACAUAUUAUAAUGAUAUUUUUAACAUUGAUAUAAAUUAUUUGUUUGAAGGUUUCAACUAUUGAAAAAUAUUAUUCAAGCCCAAUGUUAAUCUUUUUCUAUAGUGGAUUUCAAAUAAUAAAUUCUUAUUUGAUUAUUUGUAGCGAAAAUAAACAACUUUUAUGUUUGAUGCGGAAAAAUAUAGAGUAGGUCACUUUCACAAUAUAUGGAUGCUACUCCUAUACUUUUAAAGAUGGUUACAAUCGCCUUUAUGAUGGAUAAUGAUUUUCUAGUUCUUUUAGUACUAUUAUAUUAUGUCCAAAUUUUAAUUUUGAUAUGGUCCAUAAUCUCAUCGUAUGUACUAUUGAUAGAUUACAAUGCAACAAACGCAAUGUGAAUCUCAAAGAUGAUUAUUACGUUGAAAAGUAAGUUCCCCAUGUUUUAUUUAAAUUUUUUUUAUUCUCUAAGGAUUGUUUUAUUCUCUUUAUUUUUAAAGGCUCAAAUCAUCUUAAGUUUAUUUUUUCUCUUAUUUCAAUAGUUGUAGCCCAUAUGUAGGAGAAAUUUCUCUAAAUGAAGGGUAAAGAAGAACAAGUGCAUUUAACUUGUUACACUUGCAAACUAGAAGACAACCUCAUAUUUCAGAACCUGCACUACAUGAUUUCAAUAAAAAUUAAGAUUGUUGAUUGAGAAAGGAAUGGUGAAUUCAAAAUUCUCUAUAAUUUCCAUUGUUGGUGCUCUUGAAGAUUUUGGUAAAAGACUGAACAAUUGAGUUUAGCAUGUCCUUGAAAUGUAUUUGUUUUAUGAAUCAAUGCAACUUGGUUAAAGUCUCUAUAUAAGUCAUAUACAACAUAUUUUCCCUUUAAUAUCAGCUCAUCAAUUUUUGUUUCCAAGCUUUUUGUCAAUUAUAUUUUUUAAUCCUUUCUAUUGUUUUUUGGUCUUCCAAUGACUUUGUUUCUAUUUUCAAUACUUGAAUCCAAUGUAAGAUGUUUGCAUUUUAAUUUUAUAAUUUUCUUUAUUAUUUUGCUUUUUGUUUUUUUAUGGUGUUUCCUUUGUAAUCACUUACUAGAUUCAUACUUCUAAGAAAACAUGUUGAUGAUGAUGAAAACAUGUUUCUAUAGAAAUAUAUAUAUUAUGAAGACUUCUUAUGCUUCUAUUAACCUAAAAUGAUGAUAUUGAUAAGAAGUGUAUUUAUUAUCAUAUUGCAUUACAAGUUUACUGGUGGAUCACUCUUAACAAGUACAUCUUAGCUAAAAGUUAAAAAAAUGUUUCUCUUUGCACAUACCUUUACUAUUGUUUCAAUUGCUAUCUUAAUAUGUUAUGGAAAAACUACUACAAAUAACAAUAAUAGGGAGAAAAAAACAAAAAAACAAAAAUAGAAAACUUAUAAAGUAGGACGAUUUAUGUGGUUUGGCCUAAAACCUACAUUUAUCCAUGAAAAUGAAGAAGAAUUUCCACUAUUAUUAAAGGAUAUUGCAUCCUAAAGCUCUCAAAUCCCAUAAUUACACUAAAAAAGGACUUUUUUUUUAAUCAAAAUCUCUUCCUUUAUUUUCUUGAUUAUAUAAGAACAUUCCAUAGAGAAUUAAUUAUGUAAUUAUCAAAGAUAACUAUUCCUAAAAAAAAAAUCUUAUAAUAUGAUAUUUUCUUUAUAAUAUAAAAAAAAAUCUUUUAUAUAAAUAUAUCAUAAUAGGAAAAUAUUAAAGACUUAUAAAUUGACUUGAAAAACAAUUUGAAAUAUUUUUCAACAAUCUCCACAUUAGCUCAAAUUCCCAAGAUUCAAAUAAACUCAAAAGUCUUCCAUGUUACUUUGCUCUUAUACACCCUUAAGGGGACUUCAAGUAAUGUCAAUACCAAUUAAGUCUAAGCAAUGCAUGAACUUAAUCAUAAAGAUAAGUUUAGUCAUCAUAUAUAUAAAAUUAUCAACUAUAGGGAUCUUUUUCAUUACAUUAGAACCUUGUUCAAUCAUAUCUCUAAUAAAAUGCAUUCUAACAUUAAUAUGUUUGGUCCUCUCAUGUAACAUAUAAUUUUUAGUCAAAAGUAUGACACUUUGGUUACCAUGAUAACAAUAAUCAAUGAUUGGAACCAAAUAAUUACAUUUUGUGUGCCUAAACUUAGACAUGCGUAUUUAAUAUCCAAUUCUAGUUUCAUCCCUUUACUCAAUUUUAUUCCUAAGUCCUUAAUUUUGUGUUUAAAAAUGCAUGUACUGGUGGUUAAUUUUUCACUCCAUAGUUGUCAUAUCAUCCAAGUAAUAGUUGCUACAUUAUUCAACAACGGGUUGCCUAUAGACCCACAUUUUUCAUAUGCAUCCCCACUCAAUGGCGUGGUUGACUUUUUAAGUGAAAAACUAUGUUUUAUAAAAACUUGGAGUUGCCACUUAUUUUUAUUUUUUUAAGGGAAAAUAAAAUAAGAAACUAAAUCUUAAAAAAAAACGACUCCUUAAACUUUUGGAAAAACUUGUCUUUUAAAAAUCCAAGUCUAGAUCCAGGGAUUAGGUUACUUAUUGGGAUGGUACCUUAAAAACGGAGCAUCCCUCUAAACCUUCAAAAGGUCUCUAUUGGCUAGGUUGAGGGAAGUGUGACAAUUAAUUGAUAGAAUUAGGGUACAAGAAAGACUAAAGUGUUUAGCUAAAUUCUAACAGCAUAUUAAGUAUGCAGAGCAAUCAUUUCAAGUCAUAAGUAUAAAAAGAGAGAUAGGGUGCGUACCUAGACUAUAACUCAAACACUAUCAUAAGACAUCAAAGUUAGUUCAGAUAUCAUAUCACUCAACACACAUUAUCAUUCACAUCAAAGAAUCAAAUAACAAUCAAAGCAACCAAUAACAACAUCAAACAUAGAGAUGUUCAUACAUGAAACAUACACAUAUGUUGAAUUAAGAGACAAAGGGUGAUGGGUGUAUUUGAAUUGCAUAAAUAAUUUACAAUGCACUUCGAUAAGAUAACAAAGGUUAGAAUAAAUUAUAAUGGAAAAUAAAGAGAUCCUAAAUCCUAGCAUGCAUGGUAUUUACAUGGCAUAAGGACAGAACAUAGGCUCACAAAGACAUCAAUAUUCCUACAAGGCAUGCAUACAACUUCUAGAUGUAUACAUAAGAUAUAAGAAACAAUGAUUAAUUAUAACAAAACAUAUAACCAACUAAUCAAAAUAUAGGCAUCACAAGUAUAAUUCUAAAAUAUUAUGUAAGCAUCACUUGACUAGAUAAUAAAUAAAAGCCAACAUCCAUAUCCAUUAAUCAUGAAUUAAACAAUAUGAGCAACUAGUAUGCAAAAAUCCAACAUAUGAAUAUAACCACACCAAAGCACAGAGGAUAUCUCCUAUACGUUUAGAACAAAUAAAAAAUUCCAAACACUCGUUCAAAUAUCAAUUUUAAUUCAAAAAGACCAAAAGUUCCAGAAGGUCCAAAAUUGAGUAGAACACUGAAUUUUUAAAAAAAUAUCUAGGCCUUCUAAAUUCAUACAAAAAAUAGAAAAUGUCAUUCAAGGUGCCUAAAUUAUAUAAAAAAUAAAUCCAAGACAAGGAAGCACUCAAAAGAAUUUUAAAACACUCCAAUUGAUUAGUUGUCCAAAAUUAGUCAUGUAUAGUAAGUGCAACUUUGAAAAAUCAUAUCUCUCUCUAAAAAAAAUAUAUUUCAAUAUUUUAUAUGUCAAAAUUCAACUUCAUGAAAUCAAUAAUUUUGGAAAAAUAUUUAUCUAAAUUAAAAAGGUAAAAAGGUAAUUUAAUUUUACAAAAUUCUAUCAGAUGUACCAAAACAAAACAUGCUGAAAGAAUAUAUCAUAACUCAACUUUGAGAAAGACUUGUUGACUCAACUAACGUUCCAAAAUCAACUUCAAGAAGUGAACAACAUCAUAAAAGUUUUGGAAAAUUUUUUAAAACACUCCAAAAUUAUCAAAACAUUUUUUUUUUCCUAAAGGGUUAGUAGCUGAGUUGAAAAAUGAGUUUUGAUAACCUUUUUCAUGUAGGUGUUCCAUCAAGUCCCCAUUCAAUAUUCAUAGGUUUAACCCAUGCAUUCCCAACCUCAAAUGAAAAGAUUCACCAAUGCCAAAAAUACUCCCAUUAGUUUGGAAGCACGAGUUCAAACUUAUGUGAAUAAAAAACAAAGUUUUGGAAGACCAAGAAAUAGAUAAUGCAACUUAGAUGAAAUGAGUUGCAUGUUUUUUAACGGAGUAAGAUCUUUGCCUUAAACCUAAAACACAUUUUUUUUCAAAGAUUUUAGAUAGUUUAAAUUCUUUUGAAAAUGAUUAUAGAAGAAGCACAAGGAUCCAACUGGUUUAAGUAAUCCCCGAACAAUCGGAAAAAAAAAAAAUGGACUUUUAGUUUUCUAACUUAAAAGGGAUUUAAAAACAUAAGAGAUAUUAACUUGGAUCCCCUUUAUAGUUGAAGGAGGCACGUGCAUGAUGGAGAAAAUCCAUUUUUGGUAAAAAGAAAUUUUGAAUUAACUCAAAAUAACAACUAAGAAAGUUUUUUUUCUAACAAAAAAGUUUCAAACUCAAGAAUUCUUCAAAGAGUAAACAAAAUAGGUGUCAGGUUAAAGAGAACCUACAAUUUAACUAGAUAUAACAUCUAAUGAAUUUUAAAACAACCAUCCACAUGAAAAUUUAACCAAACACAUAUCUAUAAUUUUUUUUGAAAAACAAUCAAUAUGGAAAAUUAAGCAAACAUAAUUCAAUACAGUUUUUUUAAAAAAAAAAUCUAAAUAACACAUGAACUUCAAUAAUUAAAAUAUCUAAUGGAUUAUUAUUAUUUUUAAAAAAAAAAACCAACAUAGAAAAUUUAACCAAGCACAUAUUUGGAAUUUUUUAAAAAGAAUAAUCAUCACUAAAAAAUUAACCAAACAUAAUUUAAUAAAUUUUUAAAUAUAAAUAACACAAGAACCUAAACAAUUAUAAUAUAUAAUGGAUUUUUAAAAAUACAACCGAUAUGGAAAUUUUAAUCGAGCACACAUUUAGAAUUUUUUAAAAGAAUAAUCAACAUGAAAAAUUAACCAAACAUAAUUCAAUAAAUUUUUAAAUCUAAAUAGCAUAAGAACUUAAUCAAUUAUAAUAUCUAAUGGAGUUUUAAAAAUAUAAUCAAUAUGGAAAAUUGAACCAUACACAUUGAAAAUUUUUUACAAGAAUAAUCAACAUGAAAAAUUAAACAAACACAAUUCAGUAAAAUUUUUAAAUCUAAACAACACAAAAAUCUAAAUAAUUAUAAUGUCUAAUCGAUUUUUAAAAAUACAACCAAGAUGGAAAUUUUAACCAAGCACAUAUUUAGAAUUUUUUAAAUAAUCAACAUGAAAAAUUAACCAAACAUAAUUCAAUAUAAUUUUUAAAUCCAAAAUAACACAUGAACCUAAACAAUUAUAAUAUCUCAUGGGUUUUUAAAAAUACAAUCAACAUGGAAAAUUUAACCAAGCACAUAUUUAGAAUUUUUUUCUAAAAAAAUAAUCAACAUGAAAAAAUUAACCAAACAUAAUUCAGUAAAAUUUUUAAAUUUAAAUAACACAAGAAUCUAAACAAUUAUAAUAUCUAAUGGAUUUUUAAAAAUACAAUCAACAUGGAAAAGUUAACCAAUCACAUAUUUAGAAUUUUAAAACUUUUUUUUUUAAAAGAAUAAUCAAUACGAAAAAUUAAACAUAUAUAACUCAAUAAAAUUUUUAAAUCUAUUAACUAACAAGAAAAAAAUUAUCUAAUCUAACAAUCCAAUGAAUUUAACAUUUAAAAAAAAAAACUAAAAUGAGAUUAUCAACUUCAAGUACCAAUGAUUCAAAAAAAUAAACAAUCAUCAAGAAGAGAUUAAACAAAUAUCUAAGAUUUAAACAAAAAAAUAAUAAAUAAAUAAAUAAACAACUUUUGAUCAUCAACACCAAGAACCAAUGAUCCACAAAAAUAAACAACCAUCAAGAUGAGAUUAAACUAACAUCUAAGAUUUAAACAAAUAAUAAUAAUAAUAAUAAUAAUAAUAAUAAUAUAUUGCUGAAUUCUGAACCGUGAUUGACUUGUUAAUGGGAUUUUAAGGAUUCGUAUGUGGCGGAGGAGUUUUGCACUUGUUUAUCACAGAAUUGCGAGGUUUUCUGUUUAUUAUCUUUGAGCAAAUCGGGGGUUAGAUUUGAGCAGAAAACAGAGGAGGGUGAUUGAGCGGGAGGCUAGUGAUGAGCAGUUCAUCCAACUUCGCAUUUUCCGUGUGAUAGUUUCAGUUCACAGAACAAUCAAGGAUUGAAGUUCUAAUGAAGCCUCUGUCACAACUCUCAGAACCCAACUUCCUUCAUCUUCGACUCUUUGAUCAGAGCUUUCACAUCUAUAGCAGAAUUCUUCAUUCCGCUGGCUAUCUGGCCUCUGAUAAUUACACUUUCAUGUUCUUGGUUCGCACCUCUGCUCAGCUAUUGGCGCAUGUGACUGGUUCGUCUACACAUGGUGCCGUUGUGAAAUAUGGAUUUGAGCAUGAGCCACAUGUUCAAAGUGGCUUGAUUUACAUGUACGCAGGAUUGGGUGGUUUGGUUGCUUGCCAUUGGAUGUCUUCAUCAAUUUGUGAGCCAGAUUUGGUGUGUCAGACUGCAAUGGUCAGUGCAUGUGCCAAGGUGGGAGAUUUUUCUUUUAAGCCGUUUGAUAAAAUGUCCCACAAGGACCCUAUUGUAUAGAAUACAAUGAUUUCGUGAUGCGCAAUGCAGGCAAUCAAAAAAGGGAAUCGAAUUUAUUCAACUUAAUGCAAAGGUCGGGUGUUAUUCUAGGAGGAUGAGUUUCUGAGAUAUUCAUUCAACUCAGAGGCUUCACGUUCUAUAACAAAAGGGAUCGGGUGAUUUAUUUGAGUCUUCGAGGAAUUCUAUCACUGAGUGUGAAAAGCCGCCCUCAACGCAUGCUGGCUCUCCUGUGUGCAGUGGUUCUGGGAGCAUGAAUGAUUAGAUAUCGUAUGUUUCAGGACGUGAAACUUGCUGCAAGGAGAGGAGUGGGGCUUCUCGAGAUGCUCUGUCAUACAACAGAGUUGGUAGUGAAGAAAUCUAAUAUGAAGUAACUGAUUGUGGCACUACAUUUAGUUUUGCUGCAGGAAACUCUUUUGGUGCAACACCUGCAAGCUGAAGUUUAAGGUGUCCUUCUUCCAUUUGCUUCAACAGAUGAAGAUUCUGAUAUAGAAAUACAUGGAUCUAGUUCUGUAAGUAUUGAUGAGAAUGAUGUGGUUGAGGUCAUGUUGCCCAGAACUUCAGGUGUCAGUCAUUGCUUAUCUACUGUAAAUUCUAGUUCUGUAAAUGGCAUUUUGACAGGGACAAUGUCAUUUUCAUUGAAGCUGCCACCAAUUGUUUUCCGGAUAAAUUUGCAGACAAUAAAAGCAUUGUUGGAUCUUUCUACAAGAAAAUUCGACUCGCUCCCAACUCCAAUUCAUAUCCUCUUGAAAGAAUGAAGUUCUCUAUGGGCACCUCAAAAGCAUCCUUCAAGACUGAGAAAUCCAGGAGUCAGUUACAAAACGCAAGACAUGUCAUGCUCAGAAAGUGCUACUGUCAUUUAUAUUUUAUUGCGUCAACGCGGGAACGAAUGGGCAAACUUCGCUUGAGGUGAGAUGCUGAGAACCAAGGUCCUCGAUCAUUCAAAGCCAAAAUGAAAUCACAUCAAAUGCCUGAACAGAUUGUUUUCUGGAAGUGGAUUACCCUGAAGAUGCUGAGCAUAGUCACGUAGACCUCAGUAUAUCAUUGAUCAAUCAAAGGUGAUUCAGAACCUGUAAAAAUGUUUGAGAGAACUAUUAAUUUGAUAAACAAUCAGAUAAUUAACUAUCGAUAUGAUCCGUCUGAAAAGUGGUUGGUUUUGAUUGGAAUUGCUCCGGGUUCACCUGAGAGACCACAGCUUGUCAAAGGGAAUAUGCAGCUUUUCUCUGUUGAACAGCAUCGAAGUCAAGCUCUUGAAACUCAGGCUGUAUCAUUCGCCACAUUUAAAGUUCCAGGGAAUGAUCAAUCCUAUGCACUUAUUGGUUUUGCCACAAUAUCCUUUAAUGCCGGACAGAUUGUCUCAAAGCUACAUGUCAUUGAACUUGGAUCCAACUCAGGGGAACCAGGAUUUAUAGGGAAACAGGCUGAUCUUUUCUUUCCCCCAGAUUUUACUGAUGAUUUUCUAGCUGCAAUGCAGAUAUCGCACAAAUAUGACUUUAUACAUGUGAUUACCAAGCUUGGAUUGUUGUUUGUUUAUGACCUGGAGACGUCUUCUACAGUAUACAGAAAUAGGAUUAGUCCAGGUCUAAUAUUUUCUUACUGCUGAAGUUACAUCUAUUGGAGGUUUUUAUACCAUCAAUAGGCGAGGGCAGGUGCCAAUUGCUACUGUAAAUGAGGCAGCAAUCAUACUUUUCGUCAGCGGCCAAUUGAACAACUUGGAGUUAGCAGUCAAUCUCACAAAAAUGGGGAGUUUCUCUGGUACAGAGAACUUGGUUGUCCAGCAUUUCCAAAAAUUGUUUGCUCAGACAAAAUAUAAGGAGACUUAAGGAAUCCCAUGGUGGAACCAUGUCAACAUAGACUAGAACUGAUGGAAAUUUAUCUUCCUCACUGUCAGAUAUCACUGCUCUUGAGGAGUCUCUUACUGCUGCUGGUGGGAAGUUCAUCUUUGUGCAAAAGCUUCGUGACUUUGUUUCUGUUACAUGUGACGUUUUGCAGCAUAAGGCUUUUCUUUUUAUUGAGGGACUUGAAGAGCAAAUGCAGAAGCUUCAUGAAGAGCGUGCAUCAGCUGUCUUAGAAAGGAGAGCUGCUGAUAAUGAUGAGAUGAUGGGAAACACAAGCAUCCAUUGAUGAUGCAAUGUCGGUUUUCACUAAAAGUGGUUCUAAAAAGGCAAUGGUUGCUGCUGCUGUUCUUCUAAGAGAACUGAACUGAGUAGCACACCAGCAUACUGUUACGGCUCAUGAGCAUCAGAAGAAUCAUAGCAGGGGAGCCAAAUAACCGGGUGGAGACUACCAGAAAUCAUGCUUAAGAUGACAUUGCUCAAUCCUAUGCCAGCGGAGCUGUUUCUAAUGUCCAAAACCAUUGUGUUAGAUGACACUAGUCCAGCCACUCUAAAGAUCAGAAAGCCUAUCGAGGGAGUUGCUUCAUCAGGAAAGGGGUAGAGGAGAUUUAAUUUCUAUUGAUGUUCUUAGUAUCAGGAACUCUUCAUCCUUGAGCGCCAAAAGUUGUAAGUCUAAAAUUUGGAAAGCCAGCUAUUUCUUCUGAACUGCAUCUGUCUCCUAGUACCAUAGGUCAGCUGACCUCAAACGUGAAAUCUAGAAAGGUUGACGCUGCUUGCACAGUGGUAGCUAGCUUCUCCUUUAUGCUGAACAAAUUUUAUUAGGAUUCACGAUCAGUUGAAGCAUCCACAAUUUUUGAUGCUGAAAUGGAAGAAACAUUUAAGGUCAUUAAACUAAGAAGUCUGAUGGCUGGUUCCUCUGCCCAUGCUGUUCCAACUUCAAUUGGUUCCAGUUUGCCACCAAGCUCAUCAAUAGACUCAUUGCCUUCAGAAAAGUCAACACCGAAUCCCCAUGCUGAGGAUUUCAAGUUCAAUCCCAAUAUAAAGGGGUUCAUUCCGCCUCAAGUGCCUCCUGUCAUAUUCAAUCCACAAACUACAUCAAUAUCCUUUUGACAUCCAGAAACCAUUUGGAAAGAUUCUCAAUGAAGAGACAUAUACCCCAAAAAUGAUCCCAAUCAAGGCACUUUCAAGCUUGGUCAAGCUUUAUGGAAGAGUUGCAGCAGAUUGAGAGGCUCAAAGCAUAGUCGUCUUAAAGCAGAGUAGUCUACUGGACACCUUCUUGAUAACCAACAGACUGCAAAGUUCCCAAUAGAAGUUAGUUCUUAAAGUAGCAUUUAUUGGGAUUAAUGUUCCUCUUGAGACCAUACAGGUGAAAGAUAUCAUCUUCAGUUUUACAAGGUGGAAUAAUGCUCAGUGGGCAUAAGAAAUGAAUGAUUCCAGUGAUGAAACCAUGAUCUUCAAUAGUGGUUCUGCUCCACCAGCCUAAAGUGAAUUUCGCCAAGCCCAGAUGGAGAUCCACUUGGUAUAAUAACUGGUUUCAGGCAGAUAGUAGUGACGGCUCAUGAUUGGGAUGAUAUAUGUGCCUUCUUCUCUUGGAUUUUGGGGUUCUGGAAAGCCAAGAAAACUGCAACUGUGGAAGACCGUAUCCUUGAAAGAUCAUUCUGGUGUUAUUGGUGAGAGCAUUAGCUUUUCAGACGAGGUAAUUGGUGUACUACAGCACUUGCUCGCUGUGCACAUAACAGAUGACAUUGAGAACCUGUGCUGGGAUUUCUUGAGUAAUAGAAUGCGGUUGUUUCUGGUACUCUCCUUGCUUCAAACUGGAAUUGGGGAAUAUUGCCUAAAAACAACAAUGUCCCUGGAAUAGGUCCAAUCUCUCCUGACUAUGCAUCCAGUGAUAAUGAAUAUCUUACUUUUGCAGAAGGCCUAAUUUCCAGUUUACUAGAAGCUGGGCAAGUUGCUAAAAUCUCAAGGAUAUUGUCAUCUUUCUUGAACAUAUAUUUACAAGCUUACCAGAAAGCAUUUCUCUCUACAAUUAACAAUGGCCAGCACCAUGGUGAUAGGUUUUCACCUUUAUUGCUUCUCAAACAUACUGGUGUUGACAAAGGCAUACAGGAUGGGUUUCUUGAGAAGAGUGGAAUAAAUCCUUGUCAUCUGGAGUCUGUUUAUGGUCUCUUAUCAAAGUUAGAUCAAAUGGUUAAGAAAAGAGCUUCUGGAUUCCUAUCGAAGGUCUUUUGGGAAUGUAUAUUGCAUGGUUUCCCCUCUCAUCUUCAAGCUCCCAGUGGAACUCUUCUUUCAUGCAUUCUAAGUAUAAGAGGGAUCAUUUGCAUUCUAGAUGAGCUACUGAAAAUCAAGUGAGCGCUUCUUUGGCUACAUAUUUCCCCUUGAUUGGCGAAAAUCAUCUACUGAGGCUACGGUUUCUCUCAAAGAAAAUGAGCUUGCUGGGAAUUUACUUAGGGAAGUUAUUCUUAAAAACAUCAGCUAGAUCCAGAAGUUUUAAAUCUUCUCAUACCAAGGCGAUCUGCAAUGGCAGUAGUCGUACAUCAUCUUCUGAUCAAAUUGGUAAUGAAAUUUGGGAGAAUGACGUUAAUAAAGUUGAGGACCUUGAAGCAGUUCAGAUAUUGCAGGACAUUUUUAGCAAAUAGCAGGGAACUACAGGCAAAAGUGUUAAAUAGGAUGCUUAAGAUUUUCUCAGGUCAUCUUAAAAGCUAUAAAUUGUGUCAACAGCUAAAGACUAGGUCACUCCCUAUCUUAAAUAUGGAUGAUUUUCUUCCAUCAUCGCAAGAGAUCAUCUUGGAAAAUCUUGGAUAUGCUCCGAUUAUUGUGAAAAGCAUUUCUGAGCAAGAAUCGCCUUCACUUUGCUGUUUGUUGCUGUAGCUAAUCACGUCUGAAUUAAAGCACACCAUUCUUUCAUUUUUUGUCAACACAAUGGUAAUCCUGAUCAGUUGGAGAGAAAAUUCAGCUACAGCAGCUUCAAGAAACACUCUGGCAGCAAGGAUGAUAUCAUAUCCUCAUCAAAGCUAAUUGAAUCCGUUUCUGGGAAGUUUCCUUUUUUUGAAAUUAAGAAUAUAGCUGCUGAUGCAUAGGGAAGAGACUCCCAGAUUUAAAAUUUGCAGUCAGGAAAGAAGCAGAGUACUCUCUGAGGAAGAAGUGGAAAAAGAUUGAAAACUUUGAUGCCCAUGAAGAAGGAACCUGAUUCCACUCUUGAAAAAAUAUUAGACAAAUCUACUGGUUAUUUGACGAUUGAAGAGUCGUAGGGUAUUAUUAGUUGCUUAUGAAUUGUUAAAACAGCAAGUUCCUGCAGUGGUCAUGCAGGCUGGUCUACAACUGUGUGCUUGCCUAAUAAAAACACAUUCUCUAGCCUUGGAGUUCCCUGAAAAUGGAGGUGUGGCUGCUCUUUUCUGUCUUCCAAGAAGCUGCUUCUUUCUUGGAUAUGACACGGUAACAUCUGCUAUCAUUCAGCAUCUCCUUGAAGAUCCGUAGACACUUCAAACAGCUAUGGAAUUGGAGAUACGACAAACUCCAAUGGGAACCUUGAAGUGUAUAUUUGUAGAUCAAAGCUUCGCGACCAUUACUGUUAGUAAUGAACUAAGCUUCAAUUUUGAUCUAUCUUCAACAAUAGGAAUUGAUUUAUCCAAAAAUUUGCUACAUAGAGAGAUACCGACAGGAUUUUCUGGGCUGUUGGGUUUGGAAUACCUGAAUUUAUCAUAUAAUUAUCUUGAUAGUCAGCUUCUUACCUUGGAAAAGACGGAGAGAUUGAUGGUACUGGACCUAUCAGACAAAUCUUUGUCAGGUCAGAUCCUAGAAAAUGUUUCCAAUCCAAGAAACGUAAAGAAUCAAGAUAUGUCAAGUGGAGGUUCAAAAUACGGAGGAUAAGGGUCAUAUUCAGAUUCCACCCUUCAAUUCGAUCAUGGUUUCUGGUUGUUCAUUGCAGUUGUUCUACUGAAAGGCACAGACGAGUAAUCAGUGAACUCGAUAAAGCAUUAUCUUCAUUUUCGAACCUGGAGUGCAAUUCUUCGAAGAGCAUUUUAUUGCCAGAUAAAAAGCAAAAAGCAUGAUAGAUGGAGGAAUGGUUCGGUGCCUAACUAGCAUUCUUGAGUGAUGCAGUUUUCAAGUUUGAUGGUCUGAACAAGAAAAAUCCCCAGCUUCAAACCGAAGAUCUGAUGAUCAGGGGAUUGCACCAUUAACUACAGAGAUUGGUGAGAAUAGUCAGAAUAGAAACAACCAACAAGGACUCAUGGAUGCAGUAGGAACAGAGCAGCGACAACGUCAAGGAAUUUUGCAAAGUGAAGGAAAUCAUUCAUUUACAGAUUCGGUCCGAUUAUGGAUGAAAAGCAACAAUUAGGAGUCUGCUUGGUGAUGGCAACGACAAGGAUACCUAUUCUAGUGGAACCAUUGAAUCAAAUCUUGGUGGCGAGAAAUUAACACAGAAUGCAGGAAAUCCGUCAAUACAAAAAACUGGGGAUUUUGAACUUUAUGUUCAGUGUUUGACCAAUAUUGGGGAGAAUCCAUUUGAGCUUACGGACCAAGUUACCUUAUAAAUCGAAAUGCUUCUGACCACUGAAUACUUUGGCAACGAAUUGGGUCCUUCUAUCCCGAAUUUUUAGACUCCACUCCAUCAUGGUUACCUUGCUACACACACCUCCUCCUCUUUUUUGGCUUCUUUGAUUAGGAAUUUACUAUUUUAAAUUGAAUUUUUUAAAUCAUUUUUCAACUAAGCAUUUCCAGCUUUGAAAAAUCCAGAUUUUAAUAAAUUUGCUGCCACUUUCCUCCAGGCAUGCAUUUUCACUAUCUUCUUUUAUUCUCAAUUAUUUUCAUGGUUUUCUCAAUUUUCAACAAGCAUGAACAAACUUCAUGAUUCCAAAUAAUGGAAUUCAUAGAAUCAAUUCAUGCAAAAUUAAUUAGAGCUAUGGUGGGGGCCCAACAUUCGUGAUAUUUUCCUCAAUAUUGUCUGUUUAAUUGUGCUUCCUCUAUGUGGAUACAUGAGAUUGUUUUACACUUAUUAUUGAGCUAAUCUUAUUUCUCAUUUUAGCGCACGGCUUGCUAUCCAGGUACGUUCCCUAAUACCCACUUUCUAAACCCUAUGAAUAUGAUUGUCGUUGCGUACUAUGCCCAUGCUUGCUAUCCUGUUUGAUUGUCUUGAUAUAUAUUUGAUGUUUGUUUGAUUAUCUUUGAUAAAAUGCAUAUUGGGUGAUAUAUUAUCUAAACUAACCAUUGAUGUUUUAUCAUAGCGCUUAAGAAGUGGUCCAGGUACGCACCCUAACUCUCCUUUAUUGUAAUUUGAUCAUGUUUGACAUGUUAUUUUUUAAAUCACCUUAGUCUAUCUAGAUAUCCUUAAUCACUCAAUUAAUUGCCACAUUUCCCCCAAUUUAGUCAGUAGAGACCUCUUUAGGGCUUAGAGGGGUGCUACCUCCUAGAGGUACCUUCGCAAUAAGUAACCUGAUCCCCAGACCUAGACUUGGGUUUUUAAAAAACACGCUUUUCCAAAAAUUAUGGAGUCAUUUUUUUAGGGUUUUAUUUCUUGUUUUAUUUUCCCUUUAAAAUAAAAAUAAAAUGAGUGGCGACUCCGAUUUUUCUUUCCAAAAAUUACUUUUUCAGAAAUAAAAAACGAGUCUCGCCGAUCGAGUGGGGACGCAUGUGAAAAAUGUGGGUCCACAGACAGGUUGGCCUUUGGCAAUUGCAGCAGACCCUCUGAACCAUCAUCAGCUAUCAGACCUAGCAGACCUCCUUGUCAUUUUGCUUACUUGGAGGUUCUUCAAGAUCACGGACCAUGCCGACUCCGUUUUGCAAUCGAUAUACUUUUUUAAGAUCAGCAAAAGCAACAAUCUAAACUCAGAAUCAGAUCACCCACAAUUGUCUAGUCACUGGAUGAGAAAACCUCCAGGUCCUUUUUGAGGAACAUGUAUUAAGGACCCUUCCACAACUUUCUUUAUCCAUUCCUUUGCCAAGUGAUAUGUUCUCUUCUAUCUUGCCACUCUGAAUUCAAGGAAAAUGAGUACCAAAUUAAACAUCAUAACCAACUUGUUCACUAUGGUGGCCUUUAAUUUGAGCUUUACAAUUUCUAGGAAACCCGUGACGGAUCAAAUUCCUAAGUUGCAUUCCUGAACGCACCAAAACUCAUGCUAAUACCUUCAUGGGCACCAAAACUAAUCAAUCUCACCACUAGCAAAACUUCUCCAAAAAAUCGGCAAAACUAUCCAUGCUUCAUCUUUCCUCUGUUCUUUCGCCCCUGUUUUUCUUCCUUCAUUCUCCAGUAAUAGAUACUUUAACCGGUGCCAAACAAUCUUCCUCCUGGAAUGGUAGUUGUACGAGAAACCCUUGAACUUGUUUUCUUAUUCCAAAUUUGGAUAUGGAGUUUUGACAGCAUCAAGAAACCAUUCUUUAGUGCCAUUGAUUAGUGAUGCAGGCAUGGCUGGAAAUACUCGAAAUAUCCACAUAAAACAAAGGAAGACUGGAAAUGGACCAAUAAAAAAUAAACAACAAAAAGGAAGAACCAAUGGAAGCCAAAUUUCAUAUUUUAUUCCAUGGGCUUAGGUUGGUGAGGGGAAUACAAGCAAAUUCCAACAAACAUAUACGACGACUAUUCUCAUGUAAUGCACAGUAAAUAAAAAAGGUAAAGUCUUUUAGCCCUAAACCAAAACUAGAGUACUCCAAAGGGAGAAAUCAACAACAUCUAGAGAAGCAAUCAAGUGCCAAUCCAAACAAACAUAUAGCCUCUAUCAUUCUACACCCAAGCAUCCAAACAAAACUCAAAAUCCCACGAAGAUCAAUACAUAACAAAAGGAUAACGAGAAUGAAGGAAGAGUCAACAAGAGGCAUUCCUGGAAAUGUUCCUCUCUAGUAAGAAAAUCCCUGUUGGUAUAUCGUCUUAGAUCUCUUACUCUGCUUUGUUGUGUUUCCUUCCUCUCCCUAUGAAGACAAUCUCAGAAUUCUCCNNNNNNNNNNNNNNNNNNNNNNNNNNNNNNNNNNNNNNNNNNNNNNNNNNNNNNNNNNNNNNNNNNNNNNNNNNNNNNNNNNNNNNNNNNNNNNNNNNNNUUUUUUUCCGGGGGGUUGGGGUGGGGGGGGGAAAAAAAAAAAAUUCCAAAAAAAAUUUUGGGGGUUUUUUUUUUUUAAAACCCCAAAAAAAAAAAAAGGAAAAUUUUUUUUCCCCAAAACAAAAAAUGGGUUUUCCCAAGGGGGAAAAUUCACAACUUUUGGGGAAGAAAAAAAGGGCCAAUCCAAAAAAAAAUUUUUCUUUUUUUUUUUUCCCCCCAAGGCUUCAAAAAAAAAUAAAAAUCCCCGGGGGUUCAUUUAUUUAAAAAAGGGUUCGGGGAAGGGGGGGGGGGCCCCCCGGGGGCCUCCCGAAAAAUUUUCCUUUUUUAAAAAAAAACCCCGGGGGGAUUUUUUUUUAAUUUUUUUUUUUUGUUUUUGGGGGUUUCCCCCCCCCCCCUAAAAAAAAAAUUUUAAAAUUUUCCCCCCCUUUAAAAACCCCCCCCCCCCCCCCCCCCCCCCCCCUUUCCCCUUUUUCUUUAUUCCUCCAAAAGCCUAAUCUAAACUCAAAGGGCAACCAAGGUCACGAUGAGGGGUCAAGUAAAUCCCCCAACUAAAGUCUCUGAGGUGGCUAAAAAAAAAGUAAAUUGUAUGAGUAGUCAUGGGCCACCAAGAGACUACUAUUAAGUAUCAAAUGAGCUUCUAAUAGGACAUGUGCUAAGAGGACAAAAUGGAGGGUCUACAAUACCUUUUUAGGAUCACAUAAAGGGACACUUUGUCUCAAUUCCAUGAGAUAUCAUGGUGCCUACAUUUAGAAUACCUAUUGUUACUGGCUUUCAUCAACAAUGACCCAAUCCAUAGGAAAUAUGUGAUCAACUUACAAUCUCACCCGUAAAUCAAAGACACUAGUAACUUUAGCAUAAACUCAACAUUCUCUCAAAGUUGAGGGACAACGCAAUGAAGUAGUUUGGUGAGGUCAUGACUACUUGAUAGCCUUAAGUCAUGACUUAUUGUAGGUCCUGUUCAAUGUGUAACCAUACACACUAAUGCACUCACCAUGGGAAACCCAUCUCGAUAGCCAAGACCAAUUAUCCCUCUAAUUAGGAGGUGGUGCACUACAACCCAUAAUAGGUUGCCUAGACCCAUGAAUCGGUUGUGAACAAGUCAUCUAUUUGUAAGAAAUCCAUGACUUGGAUCUUUCUUGCAACUCUUAAAGCACCAAGUCACGUACAAUGCAAAAUAUGCAUGCAAGAAUGCUCAUAAAAGUGUAAUGCAUGGAAUAAAUUAAAACAAAUAAAAGUGAAACUAGAAUAUCAUUAAAUAAUGAAUUCCAAAUUUGUUAUAUCAUUGUCAUGCUUUUAAGGGCUCUAUCUUAACAACAUUAAUUUAUUUUGUUCUAAGAUCAUCAAAUUUUUAUUUAACACAACCUCGUUGAUCUAUAUACAACACAACUUGACUUCUCCUUAAUUUGAUAUCAUAUUUUUUUUUUCUUUUGAAAGUAAAGGCAUCGUAUACCAUGAUCUCUUUGAUUUUCCAUUUUAUUUUUCAUCGUGGUUGCCUUUGUUUCCAUUUUGGAGGUGUUUCCAUAUGUUACAAGUGAGCAACUUAUAUUUAAGAGCAUGAAUUUUGGAAAGUGUAUGAGAGUUUUGCUUAUCUAAAGAUUCAAGUAUAUACUAACUUACUUCGAGAAACAAUUAUAAUGAUCUUAGUCAAACAAGGCAUGUAGACAAUAAGAUUUGAGCAUGAUGUACAAAGGAUCUUUCCAAAGAUAUCAAUGUCUACUUUAUGAGUUAAACUUAAGAAGUCUCCCUCUUGAUCAAGCACAAAAUGUAACUAAGGUUGAAAUUCCACUCUCCAAAGACAUUUAAUUAUCAAGAAUCAUAUCUGCAAUAGUGAUUAACAAAUAUCUAAGAAUCAAUCCACAUCAAGUCUUGUAGAUAUAGUAUAUUUCUCUAGUUCUCAAACUUGAGAUAUUAAAAAUCAUGCCAAUAUAUCAAGUAAAAAAGCAAAAAUCAUAUGCCCAAAGCAAACCAGAAGAAAACCCAAGGAAAAAAGUAGACAAUGAAACAAUUAAGCUCAAAACCUUUCAAGGCCUAUAACAUUAGAUAAUUAGUCAAUUAGGCGUAUGCCCAAGGAUUUCCUAAGGAACUCAAACCUAAGAGAAUUCAAGGGUUUUGUAAAGAUAUCUACCAAUUGAUGUUUCGUGGGGACAAACUCUAGAGAGACAACGUUUUCUUCAACAAAAUCCCUAAUGAAAUGAUGAAAAAUUUCAAUAUGUUUAGUACGAUAAUGAAGAACACGAUUCUUUGAUAUAUUUAUAGAACUAGAGUUUUAAUAGUAUAUGUUCAUGGUCCUUUACUCAAUCCUAUAGUCUUUCAGUAUUUGUUUCAUCCAUAAGAAUUGUGUACAACAACUUUCAGCAACAAUAUAUUCAACUUCAACAAUAGAUAAGGAUAUAGAUUUUUUUUUUCUUACUAAGCCAACCCACAAAACAAUCACCAAUAAAAAAGUGAGCAUCAUAUGUGUUUUUUCUAUCCUCAACAUUUUCGACCCAAUCAACAUCAAAAUAACUAACAAUCAUAAUAGAAGAAUCAUAGGGAUACCAAAAACCAUAGUCAAGAGUCUCACUAAUAUAUAAUGUAAUUCUUUUAACGGAAAUUAAGUGUGACUCUUUGGGGUUUGCUUGUUAGUUAACACAAACACCAACACAAAUGAUAUGUUAGGAUGACUCACUAUGGGGUAUAAUAAGUUUCCUAUCAUACUCCUAUAGAGCUCUUUUUCAACAUCCUUUCUAGAUGCAUCCUUAUUAAGCUUAGUGGUAGUGUUCAUAGGUGUCCUAGAGUGUUUGGUGGAUUCUAGACCAAAUUUCUUCACUAACUACCGAGCAUAUUCAGAUUGUGAAAGAAAGAUUUCAUCUUUUAGUUGUCUAAUCUACAAUCCUAAGAAGAAAGUUAGUUCACCAAUCAUACUCAUCUCAAAUUCAGUCUUCAUUUCCCUAACAAAACUAAAGUCAAGAUCACUAGAGGUGGCUCCAAAAACAAUAUCAUCAACAUAAAUUUAGAUCACUAAUAAUUCAUCCUUGUACCUAUGCGUAAACAAGGUUCUAUCAACUUCCCUUUUCUCAAACUUUUUCUCCAAAAGCUAGGUAGUAAUCAUCUCAUACCAAGCUUUAGGAGCUUGUUUUAAUCCAUAAAAGGCUUUCUUCAACCUAUAGCUAUGAUUGGGGAAUUUCGGAUCCUUGAAACCCUUAGGUUACUCUACAUAAACUUCUUUACUUAGAAUCCCAUUAAAUAAAGCACUCUUGACAUCCAUUUGAUAAAGCUUCAUUCUCAAGGAGCAUACUAUAGCCCAAGUAUCUUGAUUGAUUCUAGUUAGGUUACGGGUGGAGAUGUCUCUUCAUAAUCAAUCUCCUCUAUCUGUGAGUAUCCUUGGGCUACUAAUCUUGCUUUGUUCCUCACAAUGACCUUAUUUUCAUCUUGUUUAUUUUUUAAAAUCCAUUUUACACCUAUGACAUACUUAUCUUUAGGCCUAAGGACUAAAUACAACAUAUCAUUCCUAGUGAAUUGAUUCAACUCUUCCUAUAGUGCGGUAGUCUAAGACUCAUCUUCUAAAGCUUACUCCAUGAUAUUGGGCUUCAAUUGGGAGGUAUAGCAUAUAAGAUCCAUUUCAUUUAAUCUUUGAUUAUCUCCUAGCAACUACACGUUCAUUCACCUUACCUAUAACUUUUGAGAUACAAUAGUUCUUGGGUACUUUGGAUUUAUGCUUAUUCCCCAUUUCUUCAUAAUUGUCUUCUUGAGAUAUAUUCUCAUCCUUGUUGGGGUCAACUUCACUUUGAGGAACAUUAUUUGGGUUCUUUGAUUUCUCCUUAAAAAAACUCACAAAGAAGUAUCUUGAAAAAUCAUCCACAACAACUAGGACAAAUCUCUUACCACUUCUACUCUCAAUAUGCAUGGGACCCAUAGAUCCAUAAAAAGAAGGUCUAAAGGUCUAGUGGUCCUAAUUUCCUUAACCUUUUUGUGUGAACUUUUUUAUUGUUUACCCACCACAAAUGGGUUUAGGUUCACCACUAAGUUUAGGGAUUCCUCUAACUUUUUCACUAUUAACUAAGUGUACAAGAUCCCUAUAGUUUAUUUGACCUAGCCUUCUAUGCCAAAGUUUAGUAAGGUCUAGCUUAGCACUAGUGCACACAAGAGGUGUCUUAGAGUUAGGAUUUAUUGCAUAACAGUUGUCAACUAUCCUAUGUCCUGUGGUAAUGGCUUUUCCUUCUUUGUUGACUACCUUGCAUAAGUCUUAGCAAAAAUUCACCCUAUGAUCUUUGUCAUAGAUUUGACUAAUACUUAGGAGGUUUGCCUUGAGUUCAUCUACAUAAAGAACUCCAUCUAACUUAGGACAAGUAGGGAUAGAUAUACUUCAUUUGUCUUUCACAAGCUAAGUUUCCAUCCCCAAAGGUAAUUGUGCCACCAUUAUAGUCCUUAAAAGAUAUGAAAGAAGGACUUGUCUCUUGUCAUGUGUCUAGAGCAACCACUAUCAAAGUAUCACUCACUAGAAGACCUAACUUUAAGUGCAGUGAAGACUACUUGACAUUUAGGCUUAUUUUUUUUCAUCCAAACUUGUUUAAUCCUAGGUGGUAACUUAGAGAAGCUUUAUUGAGAUAUAGGCUUUUGAUUAGGUUUAUUCCCUUUUCCAUAAUUCAAGAUGUUAUUUUUAAGGGAAUUAAAGUCAUUCAUUAGCCUAUUUAUUUGAGAUUCAAAUCUCUCUAGGAACUUAGUGUAGCACCUAUACUGAGUGUGUCCUAUUUUCUUUCAGUGUAUAGUGAUGGGUUUAUGAGAGAUGCUACUUGGUUGGGGGUUUCAUCUUUUCCUUUAACAAACACAAUUUCUCCACUAGAAAGAGUUUCAUCUUUAUUAAUAUACUCCAAACCUCAUUUAUCACCAUGGGUUUUCAUUUAUCAAGUAUUUCAUUAAGCAUUUUAGUUCUAAGGUGAAAGAUCUCAUUCACAAAUGAAAAAGGCUUACUAUUUUUCAUCUCUUAAGUAGGAGUCUUAUUUUUCUCAAUAAGAGAAUGAUGUUCAGAUCAAGAAAUCUAUUUUUUUUUUCAAGUAUAUUAAUAUUUUUUUCUUUUAGCACAUCAAUCUUAGUUUUGUAAGCUUCAAGUAUAUGAUCAUAUCUUAAAUAAUUCUUAAUAAGUUUUUCAUGCUCAACAACAAGAUUAUUCAAAAAAGUAGCUUUUUGAUCAUUAGUGAAUUCAUUAUCACUAUCACUAUCAUGCACAAAUUCCAUAGAUGCAACAAAAGCUAAAAAGUUAUUAGGAUCAUACCUUGUAUCUUCAGAAGUUGUGGAACCACUUUCUUCAAAAUCAAUGUCACUCCAUGUAGCUUGCGUAGACUUUUUGACAUUUUUUGGGUUAGGACAAUCAGUAGCAAAGUGUCCCAAACCACCACAAUUAAAGCAUUCUACUUUCUUACCUUUGGAGGAACCUUAAUCAUUUUCUUUGGAUGAUUUCUUAAGUCUCUUUCCUUUUCUAGAUUCUUGAUUUUCGCAAAACUUUUUGUUGAAUUUCAUUACCGUUUUAAUUCUUUUAGUCAUAUAAAUCAAUUCAUUCCUAGUUAUAUUAUGUGACAUUUCAGUAUCUUUUUUCUCAUUCUCCGAAGCCUUAAAGACAAAGUCUUGAGGAUUUUGAGAAUUAGGUAAGGGCAUCUCAUAUGUCUAUAUAAAGCCAACAAGUUCACCAACUCUCAUCUAAUCAAUGUCUUUGCUUUCCUCUAUAGCAAUAACUUCAGGUUUAAAUCUCUUUGGGAGAAAACUCAAAAAAUUUUCUUACUACAUUUGAAUCUAGAAUGGGUUUUCCAAGGUUCAAAGAAGAAUUAACUAAUAAUCUCAAAUUUAGUUUUGAUUUUCAUGCAUUGUAAUAAUCUCAAAUUUAGUAGUAAGCAUUUGCAAUUUAGAAACUUUAAUAGUAGGUGUACCUUUAUGAGUGACUUGAAGGAUAUCUCAUGCUUCCUUAGCACGAGUAUGGUUUGUUAUCUUGCGAAACUCAUCUGGACAAACUCUAUUAAAGAUACUAAAUAAAGCCCUAACAUUGGCUUCACUUCCUUCAUUAUCAACUUUGUCCCAAUCUUGUUUAGGUUUUAAUUCUCCAAGUGAUCUUCCACGGACAUCAAGAAACAAUGAGGGCGUUCACCUUGCAUUUUAAGAAAAAACUUCAUCUAGGCUUUCCAAUAGGGAUGGUUACUCCCAUAGAAGCAAGGUAGACUAUUUAGAGGAGCCCUAGUUUUUUAUUGUUUCAUACUAGACUUACAAAAUCAAUAAAAAUUUCAUUUUUAUCCUAUAUAAUUAAUAAAAAUUUGAUUUUUAAUCAAUAUGAAAAAAAUCGAUUUUUAUUUGUUUGUAAUAUCAAUUGAAAAACCAAAAGUCUAUUAGGAUAACACCCAAAGGGAAGGGGGGUACUGAGUGUAUUUAAAAAUUAUUUGUAUAUUAUAACUAACUUUUUCCUUGCAAGAAGUUAGGGAUUAUUAAUUCAUUCAACAAUGGACAAUGUAAUCAAGAUAAUCAAAUAUAUGCAAUGAAGCAUAAGGAUAUUUACAUGGAAAACCCUCACACCAACUAUGGAGAUAAAAAACCACGAGGUCUAAGAUUGUUAAUCUAAAUCCACUAUAUGAGAUCAAGUUACACAAAUUUACUUGACCACUUUACCCUAAAAACUUACUCUCCAAUAUCUACAACUUAAUCCACGUCUGUGAUGCAGCAAAUCCCUAAUUGCUCCAAUGAAUACACUUCAGCCUCGCUAAAGGGAUGAAGAUCUUCAACCCCAAGAUUCAAAGCUUGAAUUCUUUGAAUGAGAGAUCAUGAAUGGUAUGACACGUUAGAAUUUCUCUUAAAGAGACUCUUUUGAAUCUCUCUAAUCUCUUACCCUAUAAGGGUUAUAGAGAGGUAUAUAUAGGCAAAUAACCCGAAGAGAUUUGAUAUGCAUAGGUUUCCAAAUCCAACUUAUGUGAAAUUCUCAAAAUUAUUCUCUAAUUUUUUGCAAGAAAUACAUGAGCGCUUGAGCACACAUAACCACCGCUUGAGUGGUGCUAAGCGCUUAAGCGGUCCCAAUGCUUGAGUGUUGCUGCCUACUCAAUUGUCCCCUAUUUCAUUCACUUUUUUUAAAAAAAAAAAAAAAUCAAUUUUUGUUGAUUUAAAAGAUAUCGUUCCUCUUUAUACCUCAUAAAAGUCUAACUUGCCACAAGUCAAACCUUUUCAGACAUACCUGUGACUUCUCAGUUGAACGAACAACAACCCUUGAUCUUCAAUGAAGAGCAAGUCACUAUUUAAUAGGACUUAUGUGUUCAAACAUUAAAAGAAAUAAAAUUGUCGACAUACAAACAAGACUCAAUGUCCUAACAACAUCUCUAUCAUUUAGAUUCCAUAUAUGUAUAUUACACCCAACAAACUUAAAAUGAUUGAAAAUUUCAUGAUAUAUCUAAUUUAAUGGCAAUAUAAAGACCACCAAAAAGAAUGAUAUUUGACAUUCUAAUCAUAAUACAUUUUUGUUAGUUCACGAUGUAAUUUUUAUUUGUUUUCAUUAAGAUUAUGUUUGAUUUUUGAAAAAUAGUAAAAAAAAAAAAAAAUGUAAUAAAAAAGAAAGAAAAUAUAAAAAAAUAAAAAAAUGAAAAAAAUAAAUUUUAAAUUUUAAAUUAAUAAAUUAUUUUUACACACUUCUUCAAACUUAACUCAUUUAGUUUUUAUCUUUUAUAUAAAAAUUAAGUAAUUUUUUUUUAAAGUUUCUAACUAAUUUUAAUUAUAUUUUAUUUUCUUUCAUAUUUCUUAUAGUAAAAUAAACAUAAAAAACAUUUUCCUUAACAAAAAUUUCCCCUUUUUCCAUAACAUUUUUCAAGGAAGAAGACCAAAAAACCAUAUAUAUAUAGCCUAAUUAUGUUUAAUCUUUUUAGAAAUAUCCCAUAAAAUAUGGAACUUUCCAAGUCAACCAAACAUUGUUUAAAAGAAUGAAUGAAAAGAAAAGUAAAAUGAAUAAAGCAUACACUAAUAAAUUUCUUUGGAUCAAUUUUCUUCUGUACUUUUAUUCUCAUCAGUUGCCAAUAUAUAUACACAGAGAAGAGAUACAUCAAGACUCCUAAAUAAGGUAAAACUAAACAAGGAAGAAAAUAUGUACAAAUUACAAACACAAUAUUUGCCUACCACGCCAAUCAAGGCUUACCAUAAUCGGCUUGCCCAUCAAAGUUUACCAUAAUCACUAAUAUAUGAAGUUGGAAUAUAAUUAAUGCGAGCACAUGAAGCUACAUUUGAUAAUAUCACAUCUCUUCAAUAACCCUUAAUUAUAAUGUCCAUAAUAAUUAUAAUUCACAUCUUAUAUUCAUGUUGCUUGAUAAUAAGAAAAUGGACACCAUAAAAAAUAGGAUAAAAUAAGUAUUGAAAGUCUUCACCUAAUGAAUAAUAAAUGUCCAUAUUUUCUAUUAGGCCACAUGGGAGUUUUCAAUGAACGAAUCAACGUCUCAGUUGUAGCCUUCACCUAACAUAUAACAUAACAUGGGCAAGUUAAUCGUAUUAUAUUAUCUUGAUAAACAUAAGUUUAUAUUUUUUUUUCUUUCUUAUCACCUCUUACUUUUUAAUAACUUUAGAAGUUCAACUUUUGUAUCAAAAUGAAAUUAUUAAAUCAACAAAACUUCAUCCAAAACUGGAAAAUUGAUAAAUUCAACAAUAAUAAAUUUUAUGAGGCACCAUAUUGACCAAAACCUAACCCAACUUUAGAUCUUUCUUCAAAUAUUCACACUUAUAAAUUUUUAUCCUCAAAGAAUUAUCGAUAACAUAUAUUUAUUUACCAUUACUUUGAUAUUUUGGUAAUCUAAUUUAUGGCCAAGCGCGAGCAUAAUUUAAAUUUAAAAUCAUUAUCAAUUCUCUCCCAAAUAUUUUCUUUUGUAGUUGAUAUUUGAACAUUUAUCAAUAUAAAGAUUAUUGUGUCGAUAAUAUUUUCACUCCCAACGAAAAUGAUGGCAUAAGAUGUAAGACUCAAGAUUCGGUAAGCUUGAGAUUUGAUAUUGGUUUUGAGAAAAUAUGUCUAAAAAAGUAAGUAUGAGAUUAUGUGUGCUUAAGAUUUGGUGUUGACUUAAAAUUUGAUGUGAUUUGAAUCACACAAAGAGGAUUAGUUUUAUCUUAUUGAAUUAACUUUCAAUAAUUUCAAGUCUUAGAUUGAGUUUUGUCCAUCUCAUCUAAAAUAUUAAUUGAUGUUUGACGUGGAUAACCUAAACUUUUUAUUACAUUCAAUUACCAUCAUUUAAGUGCUUUAUUCCUAAUAUUAAAGAGUAACAUUGUUGUACACUAACAAUCCUUCCUUUAACACUUCUAUGGAGUGAACCAUAACUAUUAACUCCAAUAUUAAUUCUUGGAUAGGGUAUUUAUCAUUUCUUCUCAAAACCAAUUAUAUUCAAUGAGAAUAAACUAAAUUUUUUAUGGCUUUCAACCACCAUCAUUUUGAUUGCCCAUCUCUAUACUUAAAGAAUGACAUUAUUGUUGCACCCUCAUGAUGAGAAAUAGUUUUAUUCACUACUUUUAACGAAUUUGUUAUUUUGAUUAAAUAUACUUCUUUUUAUUAAAAGUUUUGUAGCAUUCUUCGAACAGAUAACAAAUUAAUCGAUUUCAAUUUUAAUAAUAGUGAGCUUGUAGACUUGUUUUAUUUUCUAAUUUUUAUAUCAUCACACUUUGGUUUAUAAAUUGAUUCGUUAAUUAUAUUUAUGUAUUUGUCGCUUUCCUUUGACAUUUUAUAAAAUUAUUGUUCAUGUAAUAUGCAUGAAGAAUUUACUAAUAUUUUACUUAAAAUAUUAUAAGAAAUAAAAAGUAUUUAAACCACUUCGUUUUGAAAAAAUAAUGUAUUACCAGUGUUGUCAUUUUUAUAUUCACAAAAGUCUACUAUAAAUAUUUUUAUAAAUUCUCUCUUAUUAUUCACAAUUUUCCAUCCUUAGUGGUGUAUUAGGCAAAUAUUUUUUGUUACAAAAGUUACAAAAUAAAAUAUAGUUAUAGUGAAAAAAUUAUUAAAACAAUUAUACAUGACAUAGAAUGUAUAUUAUUAUAAUAUAUUAGCUAGUUUUAAGUUCUAAUAUUUAAUUGUGGGUGAGUGCUUAUUAAUGAAGCUUCUCCAUUUUUUCUCUUUUUAAAUGCCUUCUAAUUAACAUUUUUGGACUAUUUUGCAGAUAAUGAACAAAUUAGGUAACUUGAGUUUUAAUUAAUAUAAGUUUAUCCACUUGGUUUUCCCCUCCUUCAAUGCUUGGUCUCUGUUACAACCUUGUGAUUUGUAUUCAUGAGUAAUUAAUUGAUGGUAUCAUUUUCUAUAAAAUAUUGAAUGGUAGUUUAGGUUCAACUUUUGUAUUUAAAUUAUUUGUAUAUCUUUCUUCUAGAAGGAGUAUUCAAUCUUGUUUGGUAACUAUUUUUUAAAAAUAGUUUUUAAUAAUAGUUUUUGAAAAAAAAUAUAUGAUAUUUUGUAAGAUAAAAAUCUAUUUAAAACUUGAAAUAUUUUUAACAUGUUUUUAAUAUUUUUAAAUAUGUUUUGAAAAUAAUUUUAUGUGUAAAACUGUAUUUUUAUUUAUUAUAUAUAUUUAUAUAAUUAUUAUUUAAAGAAACUUUCAAAAAACAAGUGAAAACAAUUAAAAGAUGUUAUCUUAAAAUAUUCUAUUUUUUUCCUUAAAAAUAGAAAAUAGAAAAAAGUUUUUUUUAUUACCAUACAUGUUUUCUAGUUUUUUUUUUAAAGAAAAAAAUAAAAAAUUGCUCUUGAAAACAAUUGUGAAAUCAAAAAACAAAAAGCUUCUACACUUUUUUUUUCCCUAAAAUUUCUAUAUUUUUAUAAUAUUAGGUAAUGUUUGACUAAAAAAAUUAAGGAUAAAAAUAAAAAUAAAAAUGUAAAAAAAAGUUAUAAAAAAUUAUCUCCUAUUCUUUUGUCCAAGGAAAAACUACAAGGAAAACAAUUAAAAUUACAGAGGAAUACACUUUGGAUUCACAAAAUUUUCUCAUCCUUUUUUUUUUUUUGAAAGAAAUAUAAAAGGGAAAAAUCUUUUAGAUUAUGCUUGAUUAUUGAAAUAUAUUUUUUUUUAAAUAAUCCUUUGAUAUUUAGUUUUACUAUCGAAAAUAAGAAAAACUAAAUAAAUUAAUUAAAAAAUUUGUAUUUUCAAAUUAUUUAAUAUUUAUAUGGGAAUUAUUAACAUAAUUUUUUUAAAACAAAUUAUUUUUUAUUUUCUUCAUUAUUUCUUUCCUUUUUUUUUUUUUUUUAUGAUAUCUCAUAUGGCAUAUAUGAGAAAACUCCUAACUUUGUAUAAGUGUGGGUUCAUAUUAAUAAUAUAGAUAAACUUUAAAAUAGUGAGGAUCCCUUCAAACUCAGAAUAAAUAAUAUGUGUACUGUUGGAUAUGGAUAGUUACAUUCUCUUCUUUUUUUUUCUAUUUGCUUUAUCUUGGCUCCUCAUAAUUAGCCAAAUGUCCAUCCAAAAGACUUGGACGUAAAGGAAAAAAAGUAAAAUGAAUAAAGCAGUGGAGCAUAAAUAAUACAUUGGUUAUAAGGUUGAAUGAGAAGUGAGAACAGAUGGCACCACAUUUUAUAUUGACAACGACCGCAUUUUAUGGGAAGUAUUAUUUAAUACUUGUCCACCAAUUACAUAAUAUUAUUCAGUGCCCAUGUGACUCAGCAACGAUCUAUUUUUUCUAAGUCUCUUAGACUUUUACGUAUUAAUUUUUUAUCAUAUUCAUUGUUUUUAGAUUUAAUAAUUAUACAUUUACAACUACUUUAUAGUAAAAAUAUAAUAUUAUUUAUAAAUUAAUAAAUUAUUUAUUUAUCAAUAAAUUAAUAAUCCUACAAAAAUGAUAAAUUCUCUUGGUUCCAAGAGUAUUAUUUUACUGUAGUUGGAGAGACACCCAUUCCUUUACUGAUAUUAUUGGAAGAGAUGAAAGCAAAAAGGGUGUGAUACGGAAGUUGUUUUCAUUUAAGAAUAAAUCUUAAAGUUGUUGCCAUACUUGGUACUGGGGGCUGGUUAAGGCCACCCUUGCUCUCAAUUGGUCUACAAUGAGAGUUUAAGACCAAAAUAAUCCAUUUGUAAAAAAAAUGACAAUAAUAGUACCGAUCUCAAAAUAUUUGUCAAAAUAAUCUUUUGUAUCCACGUAAGCAUUCACAUGGAUUUUUUUUUAAGUGUAAAAAACCACCGUUGAUAACUAUGGUUUUAAAAGUUUCAAAAAUAUCUUUAAAACCACAGUUUGUAACUGUGGUUUUACAAUUUUUCUUAAAACCACAGUUAGUAACUGUGGUUUCAAAUUUAUUUUUAAUUCACCCCGUUUGAAUGGUAGUGUGAUUUUAAUAUUAUUUUUAAAAUAUUUUUUAUCAUAAUAACCAUAAAAUCACAGUUAGUAACUGUGGUUUUAGAAAUAUAAUAAAAACCACAGUUACAGAUUAUGGUUUCACACUUUACCAAAAUUUCUUAACGAUAUACCAAAUUUCCCUAAAGUUCAUUUAGGAGUAGAGAUAUUUUUUUGCAAUUUUUCAUUGUCAGUUUAAAAUUAUUUUUUUUACAAAUUAUUCUUAAUAAAUUUUUUCUUUACUAUUGUUUUAAAAUUAUAUAUAUAUAUUUUUAUCUUUAUUUUUUUUUCAUAUUUUCCUUGAAAUUUUGAGAAAAUAAUUUCUCCUACAUGCAUUCCCAUAAAAAUUUAUAUAUUUAUGGUAAAUAAAAUAUUUAUUUGUUUUAUGAAUUUUAUCACAUAUGAAUUAAAUAAAAUUAUUUUUUCAUAUUAUUUUUAAAUUUUAAAAUAAUUAAACAAAUUGUUUAUAUUAUUUAAAUUUUAUAUUUUCAAAUAAAAAAUAAUAUCAAUGAUUAUAAUUUUAGGUUAUUUAUUACUAAUUGUGGUUUAAUGGUUAUUAUGAUAAAAAAAAAUAUUUUAUCAUUAAAAUGGAGGUGGAUUAAAAAUAAUUUUGAAACCACAGUUAAUAAUUAUGGAUUUAAGGAAAAUUGUAAAACCAUAGUUACAAACUAUGGUUUUAAGCAUAUUUUUGAAACUUUUAAAAUCACAGUUACCAAUGAUAGUUUUUUACACUUAAAAAAAAAAUUCAUGUGAAUGCUUACGUGAAUAUAAAAGAUUACUUUGACAAAUAUUUUGAAAUGGGUACUAUUCCUACCAUUUUUUUUUACAAAAUGAUUAUUUUGGUUUUAAACUCCUAUGAUGAUGAAAGAGUGGUACAAUACUUGAGUCUAUGCGACACCUCAAACCCUGAGGAUAAGGGUACCGUGGUCAAAGUCAAAAUCUAAAUCAUCAAAUUUAAAGCAGCUUCUAAUGGAAGCAUUCAUCCUACACUAAUACCUCCUCAUUGAUAUCACGUGGGGAAUAAUAUAAAAGAGUUUAACUCCAUAUAUAGUAUCGAAUUAUAUCUUGGGAGAUAUCACCUUUUUUAAUAAAAAUCAAUUAGUAUGUAAGCUUAUUUAAUUCAAUUUCUUUGAAAAAAUUUACACUUUCAAUUUAACGAUAAAACAACAUAAUAGUUGUAGUAGAGUAAUUGAAAUGUUUUACAUAGAUUCACGGGCUGAUCUAAUGGAUUGAAAAAUAAACCUAUUUUUGGGUCUGAUUGAUUUUAUUUUAUUUUUAACAAUUAUGUAAUUGAGUUAUCCUUGUACCAAUUACUCAACCAAUUGGAUUGACCAUCAAUGUGAUUGACUACUUUUGAUAUAAGCGGGUCAAUGCAUCAUCAUCAUGUGGGUUAGGAGUAGUGUUAAAGCCGAAAGUCGUGAAUAAUUGAGUCUAUUACCAUUGAGUUAAUACCUUUAAAAAUACUUUUAGAAUUGGAUCAGUUUUUAAAUCGAAAAAUUUAAUAGUACAUGGUUUAUUGAUUGGACUAAUGGUUAAAUCGUGAUCAAAUAAUUAUAUUAUAAACUAUGCAUCAAUUUUGAUAAACCUUACAAAUGGCUUAGUAGUAGUGUUCCCAUUACUCACAGAUUAGCUAGACAUGUGCACAAAUCUGGCCCUUACAAAAGGGAUUGUGUUUCUUUUUUUUUUUUCACCUUGGUUCAAACUUAGAUAGAUUUAACUUUAAACUGACAAUUUUGAAGUAGAAUUUUUCAAUACUUCUGAAAUAUGAAAACGAACAAUUUUGAUUUUUUUUUUUUUAAUUUUAAAGGGAUAUUUGCAUAAGUAUUCAUAAUUUUUGCAUACAAUUGUGAAGCGUGACACUUUCAAAUUUAAAUAAGUAUUUUUCUUUACAUUUCAAUUUUUUUUUUAAUUAGCUAUUCAUUGACUUUUUAACAAGCUUAAGAGCAAAAUGUUUGAGUUUUGAAUGUAUAAAACAUGUCAAAGAUUAAAGGAGAAGAAAGAAAGUAUUUAAAUCUAAAAUUUAUUUCAAUAUACGUUAUUAAUAGUAAAAUAUCAUAUUUUACUCUUUAAUAAAUUAAAAAAAUCUAAAAACUUAUAUUUUAAAGUUUUUAAGAAUUUUUAUAACUAAUUAUAACUUUAAUAAUAUGUAAAAUUUACAUUUAAUUUUAUAUUGAUAUCAUGAAUUUAUAUUGGUCUCACAAUUAGAUAGUGAUUGAAUCAUGGAUCCAACUAGUCCAAUAACUUUUCGGAUACACUAACCCAUUCGAUUAUAAAAACAUAAUAAUAACUAUAAAAUUUUAUAUAUAUUAUCACAUUUACAAGUAAAAAAUCAUGCACGAUUUCAGACUUGAUUCUUUUAUACAUUUGAGUGAUAUUAGAGGUUGAAUUUUUUAUCUUAAUAUAUAUUAAUGCCUAUCAUGAAUACACAUUUGAGUGAUAUUGGUGGUUGAAUUUUUUAUCUUAAUAUAUAUCGAUGCCUAUCAUAAAUAAAAAGUAUGAAGACAUAAUACAACUGUAUUUGAGUUGUAGAAAGCAUGGUGUUUCCCACGUCCCUACCUAUGGAAUUAUAAAAUUCACACCAAGAAUGCAUCAUCAAAUGACCACAUCCACUGCAUGUGACCCCCAUGUGAUAUGUCACUACACUCUUUCCCAACUCUUCCAACUUCUUCAUCUAUAUUUUAAUCGACAAGUUUAAAUUUCUUUAAAAUGUUGACAUAGAAUUGAGAAUAAUGCUAAUCACAAUUUUCACACAAUUAAAAGUUUUGUACUUUUUUUUUAUUUAAGGAAUAAUCAUUUUUUUUCCUUAUAUAUAUAGCCUUACUCUAUGAAUGGCCCUUUCUCCUCUUGGCCAAAGGAAAUCCAAAUUAGCUUGAAUUUUGAUAUAAAUGAAGUUGUUCAAUUUGCCUAAUUUUUUUUAUUUUUUUAUUUUACUUUUUAUUGUAAUUUUCUAUUGCUUUUAUAAAGGUUGAGUUUUAUUUUGGAAACUUUUCACAAAAAUACAAGGAAAAAAUAGGGAGAAAAAUAAAAUAUAAAAAAGUUAAAAAAAAAAAAAGAGAGUAGAAAAUAGAUGUAAAAUUAAUAAAUUAUUUUUUCAAAUUUAUUUCAUUUAUAUUUUUUUAUUUAUAUAAAGAUUAAAUAAUUUAAAAUAUAUAGUUAUUUUAAUUAAUUUUAAUAAUUUUGAUUAUAAACCAAAUAUCAUAAAAUUAUUUUUCUUAAUUUUUUUCUUUUCUAUAUAUCUUCCAUAUUCUUUUCUUAAUAAUGCUGUAUCCAUAAUAAUAAUACUUCUGGAUGCUGAGGAAACCCAACCAUAUUUUAUAUCAUGUCACAUGGGGCUUGGAAUAGUUCUAGGUAGACGAGUUAACAAUUGAUUUGAAAUCUUCAACCACUAAUUUAAAUUCUUCACCUAAUCAAUAAUAAAUGUCCAUAUCUUUCUACCAGGCCACAUGCAUGGGACUUCGAAUGGUUUAAAGUGAACAUGUUCCCUGAUUAAUUUGGAGCUUUCACAUAAUAUAUAAUAUUUUUUUUAUUUACAUAAAAUUAAAUAAUUAAAAAAUAUAUAAUUAUUUUAAUUAUUUUGAUUUGAUUUUCUAUUAUAAAUCAAAUACCAGAAAAUAAUUUUUCUUAGCUUUUUUUUUUUUUCUAUAUAUCUUCCAUAUGUGUUUGUUCUUUUUUAGAAAUAUCCCAUAAAAUAUGGACCUUUUCUAAUCAACCAAACACCCAGGAGGAACAAAAAAGAAAAGAAAGAGAGAGAGAGAACUUAGAGAAAAAUAAAAUGAAAAAACCGCUAAAGAUAGUAUACGUUUUAUAUAAAGUUGGAAUAUAAAUAAAUGGACCCACACCCCUUCAACAACCCUUAAUCAUGUUGUAUCCAUAAUAAUAAUUCACAUAUUUUAAUAGAUUUGAAAUCUUCACCCAUUAAUUUAAGUUCUUCAUCUAAUGAAUAAUAAAUGUCCAUAUUUUUCUACGAGGCCACAUAGGACUUUGAAUAGUUUAAAGUGAACAUGUUACCUCAUUAAUUUGGAGACUUUACAUACUCUAUAAUACUAUAAAAUGUUGGAUAGAUCACUAACCUCAUUUAAAUAAUAAAAUCUUCUAAUUCUUUUUUUUUUUUUUCUGAUUUUUACAUGAUUGUGCUUUAUUUUAUAAAUUAAUUAAUAAUUAUAUUUAUUUAUCUUGGCUUCCCGUACAUAUUUUAUGAAAAUAUUAUCCAUGUAUGUAAUACACAAGAUGAAUGCACCCUUACAACUAAAUUCAUCUUUUAAAUUUAAAAAAAAAAAACUAAAAAUUAAUAUUAUUUUACUUAAUAUUUAAGUAAUAAAAAUAACAUAACCAAUUUAAUUUUUGGUUUUUCAUUUUUUUUAAAUUAGUCUUAUAUUUCACAACUUUUCAUCCUUAAUGUGCUACAAAUCUUUUUACCACUAUAAGGGUUAUGAAAUAAAAAUUAUGUGUAUGGAAUAAAUAAGAAAAAGAAAAUUAAAUUGUCUUAUUAUUUUGCAAUGUAGUUUCAUUCCCAAAAUUUCCUCAAAUCUUUUUGGUUAUAUUUGAUUAUUGGAAAAUGAAAAUAAAAAAUAGAAAAAAAAAUAUUAUUCUCUAAUGUUUGGUUUUUACAUUGAAGAUAUCGGAUAUAAUUAAAAUUAGUUAAAAUUUUUUAUAUUUUUAAAUUAUUUAUUUUUUAUGUUGAAAAAUUAAAAUGAAUAAAAUGAGUUUAAAGAACAUACAAAAUAAUUUAUUAAAUUUAAAACUAUCUUUAAUUUUUAUUCAUUUUUUUUUCACAUUUUCUAUUAAACUUAGGAGAACCAAACAUAUUCUUAGUAUUUUUUUUUUUUUUUUUUGUUAAUGUUGUUUUCCCUUGUCUUUUUCCAUAGUAUUUAAAAAUAAUAAAUUUGUUUCCAUUUCUUUUAGGUUAUAUUUGGUUUUUGAAAAAUUUGAGGGAAAAAAAUAAAGAAAAAUUAAAAAUAAAUUUAAAAUUAAUAAAUUAUUUUUAUAUGUUUCUUUAAAUUUAUUUCACUUAAUUUUCUCAAUUAUAUAUAGAUUAAAUAAUUUUAAAAUAUAUUUUUAAUUAUAUUUAAUUUUAAAAAAAUUUAUAGUGAAACCAAUGAGAAAACCUUUUUUAUUUAUUUAUUUAUUUUUCCUAAUAACCAAACCUAACCUUAGGAUUUUUCCAAAUUUCGGAUCCAAAAGUAACUGAAUGUUACGAAAAAAUAUAAAUUGAAUGAAGUACAGGAGCAUAAAUGGUACAUCAAUUUUAUAUUGACUACCUUCUGUACCUUUAAUUGCAGCGUGUUGACUUGUCCACCGAAUCCAUAAUAUCAGCCAGUACCCAUGUGACUUGGCCCAUCUCAUCCACCCCUAUAAAGAUAUCUCUUACUUUGUUCCCUAUUCUCUCACAAUUCCCUCAGCUUCUCAUCUUGUACGUGCUGUAUUUUCUUGGCUUUCUGCUACUUUGAGUUGUUCCAAAAUGGCUGACCAAAUUCCAUUCGGUGUUGUGGAGCACAUUUUGACCAAGUUGGGGUCCAAGGCGUUUCAAGAAAUUGGAUCCAUGUAUGGUGUUCCAAAGGAGCUAACCAAGCUCAAGGACAACCUCGACGUCAUCAAAGGUGUACUUCUGGAUGCUGAGGAACAGCAGCAGCAGAAAACUCGUGGAAUAGAAGCUUGGGUCCAGAUGCUCAAAGGCGCCGUGUAUGACGCAGAUGACUUGCUGGAUGACUAUGCAACCCAUUAUCUACAGCGAGGAGGAUUCGCAAGGCAGGUCAGUGACUUCUUCUCAUCUGAAAAUCAAGUUGCUUUUCGCUUUAAGAUGAGUCAUAGACUCAACGAUAUCAAUGAAAGGCUAGACGCUAUCGAAAAAAAAAUCCCCAUGUUGAAUCUGACUCGACGGGAGGCAAUACGCAUAGGAGUAGAGAAUAGUUGGAGAGAAACCCACUCAUUCUCGUUGCCAUCUGAAAUUGUAGGAAGAGAAGAAAACAAAGAGGAGAUAAUAAGGAAGCUGUCAUCUAACAAUGAAGAAAUUCUUUCCGUUGUUGCCAUUGUUGGCUUUGGGGGAUUGGGUAAGACCACCCUCACUCAAUUGGUAUACAAUGACGAAAGAGUAGAACAUUUUGAGCGUAAGACAUGGGUUUGCAUUUCUGAUGAUUCUGGUGAUGGUCUUGACGUCAAACUGUGGGUCAAAAAGAUUUUAAAAUCUAUGGGAGUUCAGGGUGUGGAGAGUCUGACCUUGGAUGGUUUGAAAGACAAGCUUCACGAAAAAAUAAGUCAAAAGAAGUACUUGUUAGUACUUGAUGAUGUUUGGAACGAAAAUCCUGGAAAAUGGUAUGAAGUGAAAAAAUUGUUGAUGGUUGGUGCUAGAGGUAGUAAAAUUAUAGUAACCACCCGAAAACUUAAUGUUGCAUCCAUUGUGGAAGAUAAGUCUCCCCUUAGUUUGAAAGGUCUAGGAAAAAAGGAGUCUCGGGCUUUAUUUUCAAAAUUUGCAUUUAGAGAACAGGAGAUUUUGAAGCCAGAAAUUGUAGAAAUUGGAGAAGAAAUUGCAAAAAUGUGCAAGGGAGUUCCUCUCAUUAUUAAGACUUUAGCAAUGAUAUUGCAUUCUAAAAGAGAACUGGGAUUUUGGUUGUCUAUUAGAAACAAUAUUAAAAAUUUGCUAUUACUUGGAGUUGAGAACGAUAAUGUUGUACGGGUCUUGAAACUAAGUUAUGAUAAUUUGCCAACACAUUUGAAACAAUGUUUUACAUAUUGUGCUUUAUUUCCAAAAGACUAUGAAAUUGAGAAAAGGUUGGUGGUACAACUAUGGAUAGCACAAGGUUAUAUUCAAUCUUCAAAUGAUAAUAAUGAGCAAUUAGAGGAUAUAGGGGAUCAAUAUGUUGAGGAAUUAUUGUCAAGGUCAUUGUUGGAGAAGGCGGGAACCAAUCAUUUUAAAAUGCAUGACCUUAUACAUGAUCUUGCACAAUCAAUUGUAGGAUAUGAGAUCCUUGUUUUAGAAAGUUAUGUAAAUAACAUUUCACAAGAAGCUCGUCAUGUAUCAUUGUUUGAAGAGGUAAAUCCUAUGAUAAAGGCUCUAAAGGGAAAACCCAUAAGGACCUUUCUAAACCUUGGUGAAGAUUCUUUUAAGGAUAGUACAAUUGUAAAGUCAUUUUUUCCGAGUUUUAUGUGUUUACGUGCAUUGAGUUUAAGUCGUAUGGGUGUAGAGAAGGUGCCAAAGUGUUUAGGCAAAUUGAGUCAUUUAAGGUAUCUUGAUCUUUCCAACAACAAUUUUGAGGUACUUCCAAAUGCUAUUACAAGGUUAAAGAAUUUGCAAACACUAAAACUCAUAUGGUGUCGGCGUUUAAAAAGAAUUCCAGACAACAUAGGAGAAUUGAUCAAUCUUAGACACUUGGAGAAUGAUAGCUGUUUUAACUUGGCUCAUAUGCCACAUGGAAUCGGCAAGUUGACUUUACUUCAAAGUCUACCAUUGUUUGUUGUUGGGAAUGAGACAGGGUGGUUAAGGAAUCACAAAAUUGGUAGCUUGAGUGAAUUGAAAGGCCUUAACCAACUAAGAGGAGGGUUAUGCGUAAGUGAUCUUCAAAACGUGAGGGAUGUUGAACUGGUAUCCAGGGGGGAAAUUUUGAAAGGAAAACAAUAUCUUCAGUCCUUGAGAUUGGAAUGGGAUCGGUGGGGCCGAGAUGGGGGGGAUGAGAGUGAUAAGUCAGUGAUGGAAGGCCUUCAACCACACCAACACCUAAAGGAUAUCUUUAUAGAAGGUUAUGGAGGUACGGAGUUUCCAAGUUGGAUGAUGAAUGAUGGGUUGGGUUCCCUGUUUCCCGACCUAAUUAAAAUUGAAAUUUCGGGAUGUUCAAGAUGCAAAAUUCUGCCACCCUUUUCUCAACUCCCUUCUCUCAAGUCUUUGAAGCUUCAUAAUAUGAAAGAAGUGGUGGAGUUAAAGGAGGGUUCAUUAACAACGCCACUCUUCCCAUCUCUUGAAUCGCUCGAACUCUCUGACAUGCCAAAGUUGAAGGAAUUGUGGAGGAUGGACUUACUAGCAGAAAAACCUCCUUCAUUUUCUCAUCUUUCGAAGUUAUAUAUUUAUGCAUGCUCUGGUUUGGCAUCACUGCAUCCUUCUCCUUCUCUUUCUCAAUUAAAGAUCCAUAAUUGCCCAAACUUGACAUCCAUGGAACUGCCGUCAUCUCUUUGUCUUUCUCAAUUAGAUAUCAGAAAAUGCCCUAACUUGGCAUCCUUCAAAGUGGCUCCAUUACCUUCUCUUGGGAUACUCUCUCUGUUCACAGUUAGAUAUGGUGUGGUACGGCAGAUAAUGUCUGUCUCUGCUUCUUCUUCGUUGCGGUGUCUGUAUAUUAAAAGCAUAGAUGAUAUGAUAUCUCUCCCGAAGGAGUUACUUCAACAUGUUUCUGGCUUGGUAACGUUAGAGAUCCGUGAGUGUCCUAACUUGCAAUCCUUGGAACUGCCCUCAUCCCAUUGUCUUUCUAAAUUAAAGAUUGGAGAAUGCCCUAACUUGGCAUCCUUCAAUGUGGCUUCAUUACCUCGUCUUGAGGAACUAAGCCUGCGUGGAGUCAGAGCAGAGGUACUGAGGCAGUUCAUGUUUGUCUCUGCUUCUUCUUCAUUGAAGUCUCUACAUAUACGGAAGAUUGAUGGUAUGAUAUCUCUCCCAGAGGAGCCGCUUCAAUAUGUUUCCACUCUCGAAACUCUCCACAUUGUUAAGUGCUCUGGUUUGGCAACAUUACUACACUGGAUGGGCAGCCUUUCCUCGCUUACGGAACUUAUUAUUUAUGACUGCUCUGAAUUGACAUCACUGCCAGAAGAGGUCUAUUCCCUUAAAAAACUGCAGACAUUUUAUUUCUGUGAUUAUCCACACCUAGAGGAAAGAUACAACAAGGAAACAGGUAAAGACCGGGCCAAGAUUGCUCGUAUCCCACAUGUUCGUUUCAACAGUGAUACCUAUAUGGUAAUGAAGGUAGGUCCGAAAUCCCUAACCUUUCUUCCCAUUUUUAUUAUUUAAGAAUCAAAAUGCUAUGUUUGUUUUUACUGCUCACAUUAGUAAUUUUGAAAUUUUUUUCCAGCUAGGAUGCGCUUUCCGAUGAUGUGCACUAAACUAACCAUUUUACUUGGAGUUGUACAUUCUAAGAGUUUGAGGAAAUACUGAGGUCUGAUAUGAUAACUCUCAAUCUUAAACGUUGUUUUGUGUUUGGAACGUUACUACACUUGAUACAUACCCUCACCUCACUUACAGAGCUUGGAAAUCGUGGCUGCCCUGAAUCGACGUCACUGUCAGAAUAUAUGUUCCCUCAAAAACCUGCAGACACUAAAUAAUCUGCAUCUGUUCACAGAAAGAUGCUGAAAGGAAAGGUGAAGACUAACCCAAGAUUGCUCAUAUGCCACAAAUUGAUAUCAUACAUCCAUGAAGAUUGAACCGAUACACAAUGCCUUUCAGGUCCGAAAUCCCUAACUUUUCUUCUCAUUUUCUAUGACUUCAUUUUCAUUAUCUUACUUUUAAAAUGCUCUGUUUUCAUUUGUUUUGGUAGUUCUUUGUAUUUGUGACUUACUUGUUUGAAAACUUUUACAUCUUCAAAUUAUUUUACUGUAAGUGUUUUGCAUUCUAAGAGUUUGAGGAAAUACUGAGCUCUAAUAUAACUAGUAGAGUCCACCAUUCCUAAGAAGCUUACCAUUGCCUAAUGCCCAAAGGAUCCCAAAAGGAGACAACUUUGGAUUGGCUUGAAGAUUUCACGUGGUCCAAAAAUUUGUAUUUACUAGACGCCUGAUACAAAAAGUAGUUUAAAUUUAGCCAUUAAUAUAACUUUUUUAUUAGAGAAAUAAUUGCCAAACAAAUGCAAAAUAGAAAAUGGUGUUAAUGAAUUCAGUACUUCAUCUAUGUUGCAGUUUAGCAGCUUUUGUUAGAUAAUGAGUAUGGGGUUGGGUUUAUCUUGUUACCAUUCCAAAUAUUCUUAAAAAAAUCAUCAAGGCUUUGUUUGGUUUCUUGAAAAUUUGAGGGAAAAAAUAGAGAGAAAAAGUGGAAGGAAAAAAAAAAGUGGAAGUCAAUAAAUUAUUUUUAUAUUAUACUUUAAACUCAUUUCACUUUUUUUAACUCUUUGAUUUAAAGAUUAAAUAAUUUGAAAAUGUAUAAAUUUCUAAUUAAUCUUAAUUAUAUUUUAUUUUCUUUGCUAUUUUCCAUAGGACAAUUAAACUUGAGAAAAUCAUUUUCCUUAACAUUAUUUUCUUAGUACUUUUUGGGAACCAAACAUAACCUAAAUGUUUUAGUUUAGUUUAGCAGCUUCAUCAAAUUAGAUAGACAACCUCACAUCUCUUAUUUAGCUGAGGUGCUAUGUUAGUUAAUGUUUUGUCUCUACUUCUUCAUUGAAGUCUAUCUAUUGGAUGCAGAGAUGAUAUGAUCCAAACUCAAAUUGAACACUGCUCUUGUUUUGCAACACUACUGCAUUGGAAAGGCAACUUGAACUCACUUAUAGACCUACCUAUUGGUGAUUGCAUUGAAUUGACGUCACCUUGGAAGAGAUGUGUUCCACAUGGAAAAUCUUUCAUUAUAUGCACCUACUUGCAAGAUACCAAAAGGAAACAGGUGAAUACUUGCCCAAGAAUACAGAGGGCCACACUUGGUGAAGGUUUCAUCAGUAAGGAGAACCAUUUCAAGUAUGAAAUCCUCCCUUCUCAUUUUCUGAUGACUUCAUUUUUAUUCAAUAUCCAUUUGAAAUUAUUUAAGUUCAUUUUCUUUAUAUAUUAUAUUUUCUUUCUUGCUCAAUAAUUUCAUUCAAGUAAGUUGUUUGGAUAUCACAUUUUCUUUGGGGUUUUUUUUUUCUUUUUAGAAUAAUUUCAAAAGGUCAUUUUUAACUAUUCACAAAAUUUGAUCAUAGUUGAGUGAUUAAAAUUCAAGUUUAUUCUUAUUAUCAUUAGUAGUUAUUUGAUAUAUUCGUUUGCUAAUACAAAAAUAAGACUAACAAGUAAUGUGCAUAGAGUUUGUAGAAGAGAAGAAAGAUUUGAUCCAAGAUAUUCCUAAAGAUCGGAAACUUUCAAAGCCACCCAAGAUCCCAUAGGUUGAAUUCGGAUUCAUCCAGUUUACAAUCCAUUAAUUCUACUUAUAUCAUCUUUGUUAUGUUACAAUUUGCCUUUACUUGUUAUGCAGCCUACCUUAAUAAUUUGGGGAGACCAAGAUAAGGUAUACCUAGUAGAACUGGCUCACAAAUUGAAAAGGUAAACUUGUAUCACCUGCCUACAUGCCUACAACAAUAUAAACACUAGUUCGUGUCUUUCUCACUAUUGAAAUUGUUAUUGCAUGCAGGCAUUUCAGGUGAGGAGGCCCAACUUGUGAUCAUAGAGCAUACUUUUAUUAUAGAGAAGCCCAAGGAAAUAUUUAAGCACUUGAAAUCCUUUCUCAUUGAUUUGCUUCCACCUCCUAAGCAACACCUAGAACCACUCCCACCAUGACGAAGUUAAAAGGAACUAAUGCAACAUUCUCAAUAUAUUAGAAUAUAUCGAAGGAAGGGUGGCCACAUAUGAAGACCCUAUUCCAAGGUCAAAUUUAAGAUUUUUGUGUUUUUCCUAUCACUAUUCCUAUGCUAUUAUCAGUGCACCUUAUUUGUCAAGAUGAUUAAAAGGGAAUUCCCUAGGAUAACUAGUGUCUCAAGUGAUCUUGAAGUUCAUAAAUUUUUUGUUUCCACAAGAUAGGUGCUAACUAUUUUUAUUUUUUUUACACCCAUGCAAUAUUCUAGUCAUCUAUUAACAAGGGCUAAAAUUUCUUGUAGAGAAUAGAAUAAAGAACUAAAUUACAUGAAAAUAGGACAUUAUUAUUCUAUUUACAAGUAAGGGCCAAAAAUUGUUGAG
rnacentral:lncRNA from 1 species